rnacentral:lncRNA from 1 species
GGAGGUAUCCAUUUAUUCGAUACACUAUUUGGGCAUGAGCAUGUGAAGUUUGUAUAACACCGAGAAGCAGCACUUACCUGAUUUACUGCAUACGCUCUCUUAGGAGCAUUAUCAGAGUGCUCCAACCCAAGGUACUGCUCCCAUGCACCAUAAACAUCUCUUCUCUGAGGAAAACAAAAGCCAUAACAAUGGAAUUAAAGAACCCACAAUGCAAUAACGGCAAUACCCAUAAGCACAAGAUUACAAUAGACCAUAGAACAUACCUGAAAACGGCUGGACACAACAUCAGAAUCCUGCAAGUACUCAGGACGACCAAGUGACAAGAAAGCAAACUUCCACUGCGCAACCAAAAGGGAAAUAGAUGAGCAGAAAAAUAAAAACCCAUUAAUUCUAGAGGUAAAACAAUCUUUUCCUCCAGUAACGUUCCAACAAAUGUAAGGUUGAAUCAAGUACCUUGGCAAACUCCUCAUCGGGGACCUGCAAUUUCUUUUGUAUCCGUUCUUUAACUUCAGCUAAAGUUUCACCUUCAUGGAUGACCAAGAAGAAAGGUUCCCCAAAAUUUUGUACUUGCUGUUGAAAUGUACAAAGAACAAGAUAGUUACUAAAAUCUUUAUAUAUUUGGGUUAAUCAGUCUUCAUCUCUAACUGAAACAGUAAUCAAAUAGUUGUACAAAAUACCAAUCAACAAGCCAAAAUUCCGCUUGCAAAAAAAAUUUAAUAAAAAUUCACAUACCAUCUGGUUCUGUGCAGUGUCUUUUGUAAAGUGGUAAACAUGAAUCAAGCGAUCAUGGGGACCCAAGUUUUUCUCUUCUUCUGGAAUCUGAUACAAGAGGGGGAAAAAGUCAGCUGCAUAGAAAGUACCAAGUAAAAAUAUCAAUCCAAGCAAGGAUGCUAAUCUGGAAAGGGAAAACCAACUAAUUACAAAUCUUGCCCAUAAAACUACACCCACAUUCUAAAAAAUUUCAACUGAAUAAAGAAGAAACUUCCCAAAAUAAAACUAAAUAAAGAAAAGGGGGAGAAAUGAACUUGCCUCCUCUGCACGCAAAGUCCAGUACUGGUCAUUUAUAUUCUCAAUUUUCUCACUGUGUGGGAAGAUCUGAAAACAAACAGAUGGAACUGAGUGCAACUACAGACUGCACAUACAUUAUUCGACGGAAAAAAAUUCUGAUAUAACAAGGUCCUUUAGGAAAACAAGCCAAACAUAUCAUACAUAAUCACAUCAUAAAUGGGGCCAGCAACAUGCAUAUCAUUUCUGGGAAAAAUGACCCAAAAAAGUACCUAUAUGCUGACACAGCUGACAUACAAAUAAUUACCUUGUAAAUCUUGUGAUAGAAAACCUCAAGCAGUCGGAGUUCUGCAUUUGGAUGAGACAGCUCUACCUGCUUCAAGUACACCAUACAUUGAGUAAAAUCUAUUAUACAGAACUUUCAAAGGAGGCAGAGAUAAAUUAUAUUGAGCAUCUAAUAACUCUUAAAGUUAGUCAAAGUGAUAUAUCUUAUAAGCAAUAAAUAAAGGGAUAUAUGACAGCAUCAUUACCUUUCCUGUACCAAAAACGAAAAGAAAAUACAGAUAGAACUUAAAAUAUGAUUGACAGAAACAGUACCUUCGUUUUAAGUACAUUAAUGACAUCCCCCACAGUGCUCUGUUUGGGCAAUCUAAUAUUGUGAAUCACCACCUGUAAACAUCACUCAAGUUUAUGAUGUGCACAAUGACUGUUCAUAGGCAGAAGACGCUGAAAAAAAAUUACUCAUACCUCAUCUUUGUAGCAUGAUGAAAAGCAACUUUUAGAUUUUUUAGGCCUUGCAAUUCUGGCAGGGGGAUGUCCAAGACUUCAUAAUACAAAAUAUCAGAGCUCUGUAAAAGGAAACAAUAAGCAUAAUUAGUAGCCACACCACAUGAUGCAUAUGAGAGUGAAUUAAACAGAGGAAGGGCAAUACAGUGCCACCUACUUGAUUGUAAUGAACUAACAUAUCAGUUAAAUGCUCUACGCCCCGAAAUUUAAUUGGUUGGGGCUUAGGUUGCUGAGAAUAGCAGUUAUGUGCAGUGAGUCUGAUUUUGGUGGGAUCUUCCAAACCAAUUUGGCGAGCCAAUUUCUCCACCACAUCAUCGUAAGUGUGUAGCUUUGACCUAAAAAUAACAAUGAAAAAUAAAGUUAACGAACUGAGUAAUAAAACAAUGAUGGACUGUUCAACUAUGAGGGACAAUGGUUCAGGAAGUACAUACAAUUCUAAACUGAAAUCCUCCUCCUUAGGUUUCUCCAAAGAACGGAAAUGAACAACCUGUAAAGCAUCAGACCAUUCAACACAGUUAGGUUUAACAUUCAACAAAAUAUAGCUAUAAAACAAAUUAAAUGUUUCCACAGCCUGUACCUGGCGAUUGUGUACGUAUUCCAAAAAUGAAGGAACAUCAGGAUAUUUACAUUCUUCUUCACUUUCAAGAGGAGUAGACUUCUGAAAGCAAAUAAUAUCCCCAUCUUCAAUCUGGAAAAGGAACGCAACCGAUGGUUAACUGAAAAUAUACCUAGAAUCAAAACGUUAAUUCCUAUAAUACACACAUAUUUGUAAUAUACCAAGCAUGCAAUAUAGCAACAGUUACCUGACUCGAUCGAAAUGAGGUCUUCUUGUCAAGAUGUUCGCACAUGAUACAUGGCUCAAACUUUAUUUCCUGAAAUUGUAGCACAAAAACAUGUAUUAAGUUUGCUUAAAAUGCUACAGCAAAGCAUGCAACAAAUUAUAAAUAUACAUAUAUAUUCUACAUGUCUAUGUACAAUAUAUAUGAGUGUGUGCGUGUGUGCGUGUGAGCUACGACACAACCUUAUGCUAAAAUUUAAAGUGAAACACACCUCAUAAAGCUCAAUUUCUUCAUCAGGGGUAAAACCAGCCAGUUGAUUUAAUUUUUUCCUAAAAUCUCUGCUGGUUUACUAGAACUCUUCACAAAAAACCUACCAACAAAACUGGAAACAGAAAAGAAACUUAAAUUAGCAAACACAAGGCAAAGGAUAAAAAUAUUCAGCUAAGCAGAAAGAGCAGGAUGUACCGUAGUUCUCGUUUCUCAGGCUCAUAAAGCUUAAAGAAAAGAAGGAUAUCUUCCUUGGUUUUGUCAGGCGGAGGAAUAGGACGUAGAUCCUGGAAAAUGUACAGAAACAAUAAAAUGUAAGAAAAAAAUCCUUUCAUACAGCAAUUGGAACUCCAAUAAGCUUCACUACACAGGUAGUAACAAGAAUAGAGUAAGACUGAUUACCGGCCCAAACUCUACUUCCAGAAACAACUUUAGCUCUGCAUUGUGUGUUUUAUUUGAUACCUCUCUCAAGUGUCCAACCUGAAAAAUGCAAGCGGUCAUCAUUAGCUUUGCAUCACCUAAACCAAGCUCUUCUUAGCACCGAAGUCUAGUUAAAAACACUAUCAAUCAUUCCAAAUCUGAGAUCGAAUGUUUAUCACUGACCAAUCCAUUAAGCACUUAGUUAAAUUCCAAUUUCACAAAUAAUAAUAACAAUUAUAAUCAUCCAUCAUUCAUUCAUAAACUUGAGCAGUUCAGUGUUAGACUAUACAAAGACAACAUCCGCUAUUAAUCCAAAAUGGAGGAAAAGUAAUAAUUCAGAGAUAUAAUAAGAAUUACGAAUUACGAAUAGAACUGAAAACAAAGCAUGUGGGCAAGGAGCAGGGCAUCUUGUAUUGAAAAUCCAUUCAAAGGUAGGAAGUACAAAGUACGUACUGAUUGUGUUUCUUCCUGAGGUGUCAAUGGUCGGUUGGGGCGAUAUGUGUGGUUUUGUCUCUUGGCCCAAAUCCAGAAACGCUGAAACUGCACUGGUAUGCCAAACUCUUUCGCAACCUCCUCCUGUUAACCAUUUCAAAUUUAGGAAUUCCCAUAUUAAACAUAACCCCAAAUGGUAGAAAAGAAUACAGAAGACAUAAAUGCACAAAGUCAGCCUGUACUGGUGUACCUUGAAAAGAUUAAAGGGCAUUUGUUUCUGAACACGGAAAUUACGAACUUUGUCAUGGUCCACUAGGUCAAAAUAAAUAUCCCUUCCAAUUUGUUCUGUCAGAUCCUCAUCUCGAGCAACCUAAACACAUCAUUAAAUUUUGCCAUAAUUUUUUUGUUCCACACCAAACACCUGUCAUACCACAUCUGAACAAACAAUGGUGAAAAUGGGGAUAAACUAGAAACCUUUACCUUAAUAAUAGUGUAGAGGUGUGCUUGUGCCUUAUAUUUCCUUUUGUCCUCUUUCUCUUCUUGUUCUUUCUUCAACCUUAUCUGAAAUGGAACAUAGAAUGUCAGUUCAUUCUCUUAAUUGGACACUGGAAUCAGAACUUAUGCUUGAUAUACCAUUACCCUUAGAUGUUCGGCUAUGUCUUUCUCAUCCACGUUACAUAUUAUUUUGUCCUUAUCACUGUCCCGUAUAUACACAAGCAUGUAUGCAUUUGAGUAUUUUGUAAAUUUGAAAGGAGUAUUAUUGAAGCCAGGAUUGGUCUGUGGCAACUGUUGGAAAGAAAACAACAAUAGGUCAGUUGACAAUUAAGAAACUUUAAAAUCAAGGAGAACUAUAGCAGGUUGGAUACAGCAAAAACUAAACUACCUCUUCCUCACCACCGUACUGCUCUUCUAAAGCCCUCUUCACAUCCUCUUUUGUCACACGUUCAUCAUCAAAUUUGUACCUAAAACAAGACAUGACAAAUUACAUCAACACAUGAAAUGCAUGCACAAGAACACUCAUUCAUGCAUAAGAGCAAGCAGUCAGGUAACCAAGUUAUGGUACCAGAAUCCAUCAGAAAAGCAAUGUGAAAUAUAUAGAUUCCAAUAAAACCAUCUUAUUUGAACAAGGACCAACAAAAAAAAGUAAGAAGCAAAGCAAGAGAGCAGUGUGAGAGAAUGUCUGUCUCUGCAUUCAUGUGUUUUCUGUGUGAGACUCCAGACAACUACAGAGAGAAUCGAUUCCAGGAGAUCCGUCCAUACCACUGGUCUGAGAGGGUUGGUCUGAUGAAAGCAUAGUAAUGGCCACCAUGCACCCCACCACUAUGCACCAAGACACUGCAACAGUAGAAAAUUAUCAUAGUAAGUAACCAACUACAAAGUAAAAUUUAUGAAGCUCCACACAACAUGACCAAACAGGCAUAUGCAAAAGCAGGAUCGAACAACCCUCUUCAUAUAUAUUGUAUUAGUAUUUUUAACUACCAUAAUCACUACUGGGCACAACUGAUAAAUUAAACCCGAAAUUUUUUUCAUAAUCCCACCCACUCAACUAAUAGUAGAGGCACAAUGCCUUAAUAGUCGUAGGCAUGAAAGAACUUUGAUAAAUAAGUAGACUCCUAGACAUCAUGAAUGACCAUACAUUAGAUAGUUCUAUAACCCAGCUUCAAUUUCAAUGAAAAAAAUUGGAUCUAUCCACUGGGGAUAUCAUAUGUCAAGACAAGAAGAAAAUUGGUUAUGUUACACUCAGUAAAUAAUGCCAUGCACAUGCAAAGGUCUAGAAAGUACAAUCCUUUGAAAUAACAUGCCAAAUUUAGGAAAUAGAUGAUCUAUAUUAUAUCAUGUAAUAGUACAAGGCAAAAUAGAUACCUAUGAAGAGUGUAGAGGUUGCGAACACUCUUAUCUGAUUCAGGUGAUAGAUAUUUUCCAUUCUCCCUAUCAAGGUCAAGUUGAAGAGGAAAUUCAUAGCGAUCAUUUAUCUGCCAAAAACAAAUAAUACAACAUUCUUACCAUGAUAAUUUAUUUGCUUUCCAUUUAAAAAAAUGUCAUUGCCACACGAACAAACAUACCCAACAGGUAAAAACGAAUUUCAUUAGUAUAUAUAACUUUGAAUAAAAAUAAUCCAUUAGAUUGAGAAAGUUCAACUAUAAAGAAACUGAAAAACAAUGAGGUUUUUUUUUUUUCUUUCGGUUACGGUGGUUUGGACAUGUGCAAAGAAGGCCUAUUGAUGCUCCGGUUAGAAGAUGCGACUACGGGACAGAGGUUUAGGGCCGAAGGGGUAGAGGAAGACCUAGGAAGAGACUCUAAGAAAAGACUUAAGUACUUGGAUCUAACGGAGGACAUGACAUAGAACCGGGGGCAAUGGCGUUCUAGGAUUCAUAUAGCCGACCACACUUGGUGGGAAAAGGCUUUGUUUUUUUUGUUGAGAAAAAGAAAGGAACAAAAAGAACCAUAUUGAUAGGGGUUAAUCCAUCUUUCAGCAUCCAGUCAUAAAACAAAAUUAAAAUUAGAUUGAAACCCAUUAGGCAAAGACAAGCUUUCACCUGAAUUUAUACAAAAUGUGAAGAAAUAUAUUUUACAUGGUACACUUUUGUUUUCAGCUAAGAAGCAUACCUUCAUAGUAAAACAUCACAGUUUCAAUGUUUCAUGUAUAAACACAGAUGAAGCUAAAGGAGGAAGAUGAGCUUCCAGUACCAACCUUAACCAUAGUGUCCCGCAUAAAAUCAUAUUCAAAUCGCUUUAGCUGAAGUUGAAGAACGGGAGGGAAGUCAAUAAACAGAACACCCUUCUUAGCAUCCUGGAAUAAACAUCCAAAAUAUUCCUUGAGAGCAAUAUUGUAAAUUUUUAAUAUCGAAGAAAUAUAUGUAAGAAUACUUGCUUCAGCAAGCGAUUUAAUGGAAAGAAAAAACUGAGGACGCAUCCAAUCAGAAUUUAAAAUAUAUCAUGCAUGACACCACCAACACAUGUUUUCGGAACAUAUAUUAAAUACUUCACUGCAGAGGAAACAAUGUAAACCCUAGUUUUGGAAAUAAUGCAACUACGAGCAGCCUCAGAUUAUAUGUAUAGUAUAAAUGCAGCCCCCCGAAAGUGAUUCGGUAAUUAACCUGCAAACCAUGUUCUUCGGCAUGGUAUUUAUUGUCACCCUCAAGACGUUCAACUUCCACAUACUUGUCAAAAGAAGCAUAAACAUCCCGACAGCCUUUCACAUCAAGCUGUAGGUCUGCAAAGUAAUAAGAAGAAACCAGUGGCAUGCACUGACAUUUACAAAAUAUUUCCAACUCUUAACAACUGAAAUUGUGCCAAUAAAUAUUACCAUAAAAUGAUUCCUUUCUUGUAGAUUUGUAAUCCACAUUGAUGCAUUCAAUGUAAUUCAUGUGAUGUCCUUCAAACAACUGCUGUAUUGUACCCUCCACAACAGUUCCCUGGGCCCACAGAACAAUUAUCAAAAUGAAAUGAACAAAAGCUACAGCAAUAGCAAAAACUGAAAGCUUCCUAUACCUUCAUUUUAUCUUCAAGCUUUUCACAAAGAACUCUAUUAAGUUCCUGCACAUCAUGUUGCAUAAAAGAAUCAUAUGUAUCCCAUCCAAAGGAUUUGGUCAAUUCUUUGGUUGCAACACUGCUGUCAUUGUAUUGAAGCUUAUAGAAUAAACUUUGUAGCGCCAAAGGGAUGCUUCCUGAAGGCAUGUCAUUCUCAGUUGUUGGCAUAUGAUACACGGCCUGGUAAGUAAGUCCAAAAUUGAGAUAAUGCUUUUCAUAGAAAAUUCAAACAAUUCAUGUUUAGCUUACAAUGAAAACAGGAGAUCACGUAAAUGACCUUUCUGAAGUACGGUAUAUGGUACAAAGUCUGGAGAAGAGAAUUCAUAUAACAAGUUGCUCCCUGAUUCUUGAGCCCAACAUAACCAGUUUCCUUUUUCGAGUCAUAUGACCAGUAAUCUAGAACCUUACGGACAGCAACCUCAGCUUCAACCACAACUGUAUCGUUCACCAGAUAUCCCCUACUCGGAUCAUAAAGAUCACCAAGAGGCAUGAAUGAAGUGAAUCCCCAGUCACUUUCUCUUGCAUUGAAUUGGUGCUGAGUGUCUGCAACAUCAUACAACAAUGAACGACAAAGGUCUUAAAAAACAUCUUGAAUAUGAUUAAAGAUUGUUCAAUUCUGGUUAAACGCAUUGCAAAUUAAUGUUCUAGAACAUAGGUCACACCAAUAAAAUACAAUUCUUUACCAUAUCUGAUCGUCAGACCCGCCUCAAGCUCAUCCCUUAAUAAAUGGGAACCCUUGAUUCAGUUAGCCUUUUCAUUACCUAGAAAUUCACCCUUUAAUUGCACGUAAUUUCCAAGUAAAUUCUUCCUGUUUCUACCUUUACUGUUAAUCUAUAUUUGACAUCUAGAUACCUAAAAGGAAUAAUCUAUUGGUUUUCAAUUUACUUCUAACAUCUGUUGGUACGUUUUAAUCCAUAAUUUUUUUAUUCACUUUUUCUCAAACUUCAAAAAUCCCCAAACAAAGGCGCCAUGGGCACAUAGUCAGACGAUGGUGCUGCUGCCGUUAGCCAAGAUUUUAGAGAGAAAGGGGUGGAAGAAUUUUCUUUACUUUAUAGUUUUGAUAUUUCAAUGAGAAAAAUUAGAAUUAAAAGCUCACAAUAACAAGAUUAGAGUGGUUAAUUAGAUAUUGUUUGCGUUCAAAUGGCAUCACCCAAGAACUAUGAAGUUGAAAGCCAGGUAGGUCCAUUCCAACAACAACAACAACAAAGCCUUUUCCCACUAAGUGGGGUCGGCUAAAUCCUAGAACGCCAUUGCGCUCAUUUGUGUCAUGUCCUCCGUUAGAUCCAAGUACUCAAGUCUUUUCUUAGGGUCUCUUCCAAAGUUUUCCUAGGUCUUCCUCUACUCCUUCGGCCCCGAACCUCUGUCCCGUAGUCACAUUUAGGUAGGUCCAUUCCAAGGAUAAUAAAUUCUAAUUAAAAGCCUUGGGUGCCCAUGACUACCCAACAACAAGCAAAGCUCUCACUGAAAGAAAACAAGAAAACAGAAUACGACAACCAGGCAAACGCACAGACUUGAAUGCUAAAAAGAAACAAGACUAAUAAAGGAAUAUACCCUUUCUUAUUGAGUACUUGGUAUGGAUAUGAUUAACUACAGCCAAGCUGAAGUGUGCAUAUCUACUCCACCCAUAUGGCAAUGUCCCGGAAUCUGCCACAUCCAAAUACAUUGACAAGUAGUCCACAUUGUUUCCCUUGGGAAAUAUUAGUAUCCGCCUGAUCAAACAAACCAAAAGCAAUUCAAAAUCCAAUCACCUACAAAUAUAAGCCAAUCUUAAGUAGCGUUAUAAUCAGUUUUUGACAUCUGGUAGACAAGAAAAAAUACCAUUUAUAGCCGCCCACUACGAACAUGUCAGAGUAGUGCUUCUUGAUGUUCAACCUAGUAAAGUUCUCAAUUGUCCAAGUGAAUUUCAUCGUUGGAGGAUCCUCCACUGGUUGACUAUCAACUGUACUAGCUGGCUCCACUUGGGCUACUACCAACACACCAAAUACCAUAAAUUUCAAAAAAACAAAACCAAAACCCUAAAGAAAAUGCAAACACUUGCACUCUAAUCAAACCCUGUGAUGCCAAAUUCGCACAAAAACCAAUUGUUUCAGAUCAACUACGCCACACAUAACGCUCCAAAACCACACCAUAAACACAAACAUAAGAAAUUCAAACAGUAACUCAUCGAAAAAUUGCUAAAAAUUAAACCUUCCAUUGGCUGAGGACCUUCGACCAAAUCCGAGUUCGGCACAAGCAUCUCUUCGUCCUCUUGCUGCUGCUGCUAACAAAAGAAACAAAAAUCAGAGCUCUGAUCGAGAAAAACCUAACCCUAUCUUACUGAAUCAUAACCCUAGCAAAUCAAUCACUUUAAGUCGGUGAAUUCCCAAAAUUCAUCCCAGUUCGAAACCGCCGAACGCCACCAAGAUCCAUAGGCGAUCAGAAACGAAGAACGAAGCCGAAACCCAAUGAAAUUAAACCGAGAGUGGAAAUGUAGAGGAGUCGGUACGUACAUCCAACGGUGCAGGAGUCAUCAUAGUCAUUGCUGCCGCGCAACGAACCGUCCGAUCGACGAAUCUGAGAGACGAACGAUACCAGUGAAAGACGGGGGCAGAGAGAGAGAGGGGGAGAGAGGGGAGAGAGGCGGGGCUUUGUUUUGCGAAGGAGGGGACACUCCCGUAAGAAACUGGCUCCGAGACAAGCCGCUGGGUGCAAAGUCCAGGGAGGGGCGUAUUGGGGAUUUCGUGAAAAGGCGGGGGUAGUUUGGGAAAUGGAGGACGGAGUGCGGUGGGUUUACAUGAGAGGAGUAAGAUCUUUAGCGUGUGGAAGGACCAGUGGGAGGCCGACACCUGGGGCGAGAUGGUUGGGUGGGAUUAAAUAGAUGACGUGGCAGUCACCAGAGGGUCACGUGCACUGGCGAAUGACGUAUGUGAUCUUUCCUCGUACACUGGUAUUCAAGCUUUUGUCAAAGUGGGUGAUGUCAUAAAUUAUAAUAAUUGUACACAAUUGGUAUUGGACUUCUCCCACUUUCAUACAAUCCAUCCACCACUCGGUCUGGAAAAGUUAUUUAAACUACUUAUUAAUAAAAAAUAAUUCUUAGAUAGGAUUAAAAUUUCUGACAAAGUUUUUAUCGAGACUCAUUUUUAGCAUCAUAUAAUGAAUAUGGUACUUAUUUUCAAAACUACUUAUUAAUUAAAUUUUCCUUAUCAAUUGAAAAAAAGUGAAAAGACGGUUUAGUAUUCCAUCAAAAAAUGAAAUAUAGUAUAUAAUUCCAUCCAAAUUGUCAUUUAGUAAUACAGUUUAAUAGUAUUUCUCUUCAUUGAUAAGUGAGAGGUAUUAGGUUCGAUUUUCAACAAAGGCGAAUUUGAACCACAUUAUUAUGGCUCACCCAUUGUGAGCCUUAACCCACUCCCCCACCCUCUUACCCCCUUAAUGUAGAUAAUAUCGUUUAUUUAAAAAGAAGGGUAAAUCUCAGUUUACUACCCUCAAGUUUUGUGGUUUUCAACAUUUGGUACAUCAAGUUUUUUUCGCCCCAGAAUCAUAUCUAAAGUGUUAAUUUUGGGACAGUCUCAUACAUCUGUUAGUUAAAUUGUUAAGUCUGCCGUUAACUGAUGACGUGACGCCUAUGUAGACAAUGACUGUGCACCACGUGUCAUUAAGGGGUCCACGUGGAUUUUUUUUAGAAGGGGUAUAAAAAAUUCAAAAUUCAAAAUUCCAAAAAAAAAAAAUGCCCGUCUUCUACCUCCCCCAACCCCCUCCUCCUUUCUUUCCUAUGCAACCCAUACCCGCACCCUCACCAUCCAGCUCUAAAAUCUCCAUGCCUCCUCCAAUCUUCUCCACCACCUCUUAGUCCAAGCGACCUACCCCAAUGGUUUCUCCAGCAGCAGCCCCCAUAGAAACCUAGAAACAACUACAAUAAUCCCACUGUGCAACCACCUUACCCACGAGCCCUAGCCACCCACAGUCUCACCCUCCUCCCACGCCCCAGACCUGCGGUAGCAAGCUUUAAUUCCUUUGCAGGGUCCGUAGCUUCAAUUUGUAGAAUCUCUUCCCAUCACCAACCUCACUCCCUCUGCAACCUUCAACCCAAAAUCACAACAAGUUUGAAGCAAUAAGGUAUAUUUCCAGAUCAAGGAUAGAGGCGACAAGGUCUCCGACGAAUGGAGAAAAGUGCUCGAACGACGGUGGGGAUGGGUAUUCCUUUCUCCAUGUUUGUGGGGUUAGGAAUGGAAUUUAUGAAAGAGAAUUGGAGAUGAGAUUGGGGUGGGGACGAUAGAGAAGGGGAUAGGAGUGGAUCCACAGAGGAGGGGAUGUGGUUUGGACAUGGGGCCUAGGAAGAAGCAAGCAAGAAAAAUCGACUGCAAAUCUGGAGAGACGAGGCGGUCAAAUCUGUAGGGAGAGUGAAGAACAGUGGGGGAAUAUGGGGGUGGGGGAAGGUGGUGGUUGCAUACAGAGAAACUGGGUCGUCGAAGAGGAUGAGGGUUGAGUAGGUGGAGUCGAAGAGGGAGGGGGAAUGAUGGAUGUGCAGACGUUGGGGUAGGUGCAAAGGAGAGAAGGGAGGGAUAAGGGAAGGGGGUCGGGGUGUGGAAGACAAAGGGGUUCUGGAUUUUUUUUAUUAUUUUAUUUUAAUUAAUUAAUUAUUUUAAUAGUUUAAUAAUUUUAAUUUUUUUUAUUGACACGUGGCGCCCAGUCAUUGUCCACAUGAGCGCCACGUUAUUAGUUAACGGCAGACUUGAUAGUUUGACUGACGGAUGUAUGAGACUGUUCCAAAAUUAACACUUUAGGUAUGACUCUGGGAAGAAAAAAACUUGAUGUACCAAAUGUUGAAAACCACGAAACUUGAGGGUAGUAAACUGAGAUUUACCCUAAAAAGAAUAAAGUUUCCGCCCAAGUCAAACUUCGUUGUAUUUUUUUUUUUCAAACCUCACUAACAUGUAGUCAUAGCACUUUUAAUUUAAGAAAAAAAUAAAAUAAAAUAAAACUCCCAUUUUCUCUUUUUUUUUUCUCUCUCUCUCUCACAUUUCUUUCCAACUUCUCUUUCUUUCAUUUUAAAAUUUGAAUAUAUACACACAGAAAGUGGCAGAGCCAGAUUGUUUAGUUAAUAGGGUCAUAAUAUCAACCAAAAAAGCUUUAUCGAGCCAUUUUGUUGAGCAUCUAGUAGUCAUAAUGAUUCGAUUGCAAAUGCAGAGCUUGACCCAUCCACCACGUUGGUUUUUCCUUCAUCAAUUUAUAAAACCUUGGAUUUUUUACUUCAAAGUCUAGCUUGCAUACUCUGCCAAUUCCUUUUGCCAUGAGAUAGAUCGGCCGCUACUCCUCCGCAAGAAAGAGUUGGUUAGACAAUGUGUGGUUGUUAAACAAAGAUUGGCUUUUUAGCAAGACACAGACUAAGCCAAAGACAUAAAUUUUUUGGGAGUAAGCAAACGAGGUGGGGUAGGAGAGUAAACGAAAAAUACCCAUCAACACCAAUGUUUGGUGGUUUAAGUGGUAAGGAGCUUGUUCUUCUUAAGCAAGGUCUCGAGUUCAAGCCUUGUGAAUGGAGAAGCCAACAUUGGAAAAGCUUGCCCCCUGAAUGGGGUCCGACCCGGCUCGAGGAUUGGUCAUUGCCUAUGUGCGGGGGAUAUCCUAGAUUCAUCCAAAAAAAAAUACCCAUCAAUACAAUCACCUUGCUUCUCACUUAAACUAGAGCAACGUAAGGAAACAGGCUACCUAAAUUUUGCACGACUUGUUCCCUUCUUUUGCAUGUUCAUACAAACUUAUGAGUCAAAUCUGAUGGUAUUCCUCUUCACUUCGAAGUGAUAGGUCUUAGGUUCAAAUCUCAUGGAUAGCAAAUUCGAUACCAAAUUAAGUUGCCCGACAGCCUAGGUUCUAACAGAGCCAUGCUUUUAUAACAACAAGGUAAGUUUUCAUAUUUUAAAGAGCUAUCCGCCAUUCCUUGAGCUCGUUAUGCCUUUACUUGCACCAGUUGUGCAUUAAUUCGGGCUAGUUCAGCCUCAAGUUUUGUUACCUUGGCAUCAUAUAUGGCGACGACGUCGUUUCUGUCUUGGCAUUUCUGCAUGGCCAGUCUCAUCUACCUUGCCUGCAUUCCUGGCAUGUUCUUAGUGCUUCAGCCCAAGGCACUGCUCUCAUGCAGCAAAAAUUUCCUACUCUGAGGAAAACAAAAUUCAAAUGUUGGAGUUUAAAAAAAAAAACCAACUAGGCAAUCCCAUAAACAUAGUUUGUAUUGGCUCGCAGACAUAACAUGAAAGAAAGGGUGACAUGAGUUGCGAUAGACCAUAGAUACACCUGAAAUCGUCUAGAAACAAUAUCAGAAUCUUGCAGCUACUCUGGACGACCAAGUCACAAGAAUGCAAACUUCCUCUACACAACGAAAAGGGAAAUUGACAAGGAAGCAAAAUAAACGAUCAUUUAUACUAGUAAGGAACACUCAUUUUCUCUACUGACCCCAUCCCAAUGAAUAUAAGCUGGGGGUUAAGUACCUUCGAGAACUCCUUAUCCGGGACCUGCAAUUUUUUUUGUAUCCCUAUUUUAACUUCAGCUAAAGUUUCCCCUUCACUGACGACCAAGAAGAAAGGUUCCCCAAAAUUUUGUACUUGCUGUAAAAUGUGUUAGACGAAGUCAACGUGAAGCUGUUAUCACCGCAUCUUUAGGAGUUUGAUUUACUUCAAACUCUUAUCAUUUCAACCAUUCAUAGUUUAUAAGAUUUGUUUUCAAAUAUCUGAUGUAAUAUAAGUUGCGCAUGUAAUCCUUAUAGCUUUCUGUUAGUAUUUUUAAACUUUCAAAACUUCCUUGUAUCUAGGGUUUUCAAACCCAUGCUGUAACCUUGAGAUGAUUAUAAAUGCAUGCAUCCCAGUUUUGAUGGGUAUGCAAUUGAAGUGAAACUUUCAGCUUUCUUAAGUUUUACAUGGUAUUGAGCCUUACUAAGUCUAACGACUAAGAUCAUUUUUUUUUCUCCACACUUUAAUGGCUGAAAACAAUGUCAAAUUUUCCAAUCCCACCCCAUAUCACCAAUCCCACGAACCCUACCACCAAUCCAUUUCAUCCUUUUUCCGCUGUUGUAAACAUCAAACUUGGCUGGACCAACUACCCACUAUGGUUGGCUCAAAUUCUCCCAAUUCUUAAGAGUAGAGAUCUUAUGGGGGUAUGUGGAUGGUACUUUGGUGUGCCCUCCCAAGGACUUGCCUGGCGUGACCACGGUCAAUCCCGCGUACACUGCGUGGGUUUAACAGGAUUAAAUGAUCCUCAGUUGGAUAAAUGGCUCUUUAGCUGCUUCUGUACUCUCUGUUGUGGUAAGCAAGAAGAUUGCUUGGGCCACAUGGGAAGCUUCAGAGCAGAGGUAUGUUUCUACCUCACAAAACAGAAUCUUGUUUAUGAGAAACGAGUUGCUACAACCCAAAAAAGACAAUCUCUCUGUCACGGACUACCUGGAUGGCAUAAAUGCCAUAGUCGAUAAUCUUGCCCUAGCGGGGCAACCAGUGAAUGAUGAUGAACUUGUGCAGAUUAUGUUGAACAAUCUCCGACUUGCCUUUGAAAUGAGGUUAAGUGCUGCUUAAGCUCGGGAUUCCCCUAUUACUUAUCAUACUCUUGAGGCACUUCUGUUAACCACCGGGCGCAUAAUGAUGGGUCAAAAUCCUUUUAUGGCUGAUAAUCCACCUGUUAAUGCUUUUGUUGCUGCGCGUGGCCAUGGUGGGGGACGUUCCCGUGGAACUGGGAGAGGUGCAUCACUCUCUAAUCGUGGACCUUCUUCUAAUCAACGAGGAUACAAUCCUCGCAACAACAACAACCAGUGCAACCAGCCAGCUAAUGGUGAGAGACCUCCUUAUCCUGGUGAAUGUAUCAUUUGCCAAAUCUAUGGGAAACCAAGUCAUCCAGCUCUUGAUUGCUACCAAAGGAUGAACGCUGCUUAUGAAGGUCGCAUUCCAGCCAAGAGGCUCACAUUAAUGUCCUCAUCGCCUAUCACCAUGAACAAACAACCGAAUGGUACCUAGUUGUUGAACACUGGUGUUAAUGCUCUUAUCACUCCUGGCAUUUAAAAUUUGGUGAAUCCCAAAGAGUACAAUGGUAAUGAUACUAUUGGAGGGGUAGGUAAUGGCUCUGGCAUCUCUAUCUCUCACUCCGGUUCAAAUAAACUACAUACUAGAACUUGCUCAUUUGAUUUAAGUAAUAUUCUUCACUGUCCCACAGCUUCUCAAAAUAUAAUAUCUGCUCACAGAUUUACACUAGACAACCAUUGCUAUUUGCUGAUAUUCCCUCAUUUUUUCCUUGUUAAAGACCUCAAGACCCGGAAGAUGCUUUUCCGAGGGAGAUGUGAGAAUGGAUAACCAUUUUUAGCAAUGGACAACACAAGUAUCCAAUUUUAGUUUUUGUAGGGAUUCGAUGUUCAGUUCAAAAAUGGCAUUCUCGGCUUGGUCAUCCUGCCAAUUCAAUAAUUAAGUUUUUAAUUUCAAAUAAAUUGGUACCAAUUCAUGGUACCACUGAUGUAAGCUUUUGUGAGUCAUGUCCCUUAGGAAAGAGUACUAGGUUACCUUUCAAAGUGUCUCAAUCUGUUUCUCAAUUUCCUUUGCAACUUUUGCAUUUGAAUGUGUGGUCUUCCCUAAUUAUUUCUAAUGAAGGUUUUCAUUAUUAUGUGCUAUUUGUGGAUGAUUAUUCGCGUUACUCUUGGGUUUUUCCCAUGAAACACAAAAGUGAAGUAUUUGAAAUCUUUGUUAAAUUCAAGGCUUCUGUCAAGAAUAGGUUUAAUCUUUCAAUUAAAACCCUUCAAUGUGAUGAAGGUGGAGAGUAUAAAAGUCAUGCUUUUCAGAAGUUUCUCACUACAAAUGGAAUUUCACAACAUUUUUCAUGUCAUAAACAUCCUGAACAAAAUGGAAUUGCAGAAAGAAAACAUCGACAUAUUGUUGAAAUGAGCAUAGUUAUGCUUUCUCAAUCUCACAUGCCUAAUAAAUUUUGGUUUGACACAUGUUCUACUGCAACAUAUUUGAUAAAUAGGGUGCCCACUAAAAUUUUAUCCAAUGUGUCACCUUAUGAGAGAUUGUUUUGACAAAAACCAAAGUAUGACAUGUUAAAAAUUUUUGGAUGUCAAUGCUUUCCAUGGUUAGUGCCUUACACACAAAAUAAACUUUAAUCUAAGUCAAAAGAUUGUGUUUUCUUGGGCUAUUCACUAAAUCAUCAAGGCUACAAAUGCUUGGACUUGUCCACAAGACGAAUUUACUUGUCUUGCCAUGUCCUAUUCGAUGAGGAUUUUUUCCCUUUUAAGGGACUCAUAUCUUUAGAAAACGUCAAUACCAAAGGUAAUCCUCACUCGCUCGACUUGUUAUUUACAUUUGAUUUGCCUCAUUGUCCUACUUUGCCUCAAUCACUUACUCAUCCACUUGCCGAGCAACCUGCUAACCAACUAACUAAUAUCACCCCUAUCACCCCAAACUCCCCAUAAUUACAACCUGACCCAAACUCUACCCUUGACUUACCACGUUCUAAUCCUAAAACACCUAUGUCAUCCUCUACCAUACAGCCUACCCUACCCUCAAAUGAGUAAGUUGAAGUACCUAUACAACCUGUGUUAGAGUUAUCUGAUGCUCCUGCACCUCUAGAGCAUUAUAUGGUCAUAAGAUCCAAGUCUGGAAUUCAAAAACCCAACCCUAAAUAUGCUAUGCAUGUUACUGUUGACAACUAUUUUGUUGAACCAACAUGUUUCACUCAAGCUGUUAAGUCCCAGGAAUGGAGGAAUGCCAUGGUUUAGGAAUUCAAUGCGCUGCAACAAUGUGGGACUUGGAGUUUGGUUCUGUUCACUCCACAGAUGAAUUUGCUUCCAAACAAGUGGGUGUUCAAGUUAAAGCGCCGUGCAGAUGGUACAAUUGAGCGUCAUAAGGCUUGGCUUGUGGCAAAUGGGUUUAAUCAGAAGGCUGGUGUGGAUUACAUCGAAACCUUCAGCCUAGUUGUUAAACAUACCACGAUCAGGUUUGUGCUUAGUGUUGCGGUAUCAAAAGGAUGGCAGGUUAGACAACUAGACAACCAAAAUGCUUUCCUACAUGGUUUCUUGAACGAAGAAAUGUAUAUGCACCAACCUUUGGGAUUUGUUGACAAACAGUUUCUAACUCAUGUUUGUAAGCUUCAGUAGAGUAUAUAUGGUCUUAAACAAGCACCCAGGGCCUGGUUUUAGAGAUUCUCCGACUUCUUGCUUCAACUUGGCUUCCAGGAAUCAACGUGUGACUACAGUCUGUUUGUAUUCAAUAAAAAAAGUGUGUACUUAAUACUUUUAAUUUAUGUGGACGAUAUCUUAAUCACUAGAAAUAGUUCUCACCAGAUUUCCAGGUUGAUACAAAGGCUGAGCACCUUAUUUUCCAUGAAAGAUUUGGGACCACUCAAUUAUUUUUUGGGUGUGGAGGUCAAGUAUGAUGGUGGCCAGAUGCACCCAAGUCAAUCAAAGUAUGCGUUGGAUUUACUAGCCCGCACCAAAUUUAUAGAACUAAGCCAAUAUCCACUCAUGUUUCCUCAGGCCAAAAACUCAGUGCCUAUGUUGGUGAUCAAUUCGAGAAACCAAAGGUCUAUCGUAGUGUAGUGGGUGAUCUACAAUAUCUCACAAUUACUCGUCCCGAUUUGUCAUAUACGGUCAAUCAAGUGUGCCAGUAUAUGGGCAUUCUCCCACAACCACUCAUUGGAUGGCAGUGAAACGUAUUCUUCGUUACUUGAAGGUCACGCAUAAUCAUGGUCUUUUGUACAAGCUAGGAACUAUCACACCUUCAGCCUUCUCCGAUGCGGAUUAUGCAGGGAAUCCAGAUACACGGCAUUCAACUGGUGGUUUUUGUGUCUAUCUCGGUUCAAAUCUGGUGUCUUGGAGUUCUAAGAAGCCGAAAACGGUUUCUCGGUUGAGUGUUGAAGCCGAGUACAUGCAAUUGGCUUCACGGUUGCUGAGCUUUCAUGGUUAAGAUCUUUAUUCAAGGAUCUCCAUUUACAUCUUGUGUGACCACAAAUCUGGUGUGACAACAUCUCUUCGAUUGCUCUAGCCUCGAAUCCAGUAUUUCAUUCACGAACUAAGCAUUUGGAAGUUGAUUACCAUUAUGUACCGGAGAAGGUGGUUCGUGGUCAAUUAUUGGUUAACUAUAUAUGUUCACAAGAUCAGCUUGCUGAUUUGUUUACCAAGGGUUUGUCUUCGUCUCGAUUCAAGUUAUUAGCAUCCAAGCUUUCAGUUGUUCCUCCACCUGUUAGCUUGCGGGGGGCUAUUAGACGAAGUCAACGUGAAGCUAUUAUCACUGCAUCUUCAGGAGUUUGAUUUACUUCAAACUCUUAUCCUUUCAGCCAUUCCUAGUUUAUCGGAUUUGUUUUCAAAUAUUUGAUGUAAUCUAAGCUGCGCAUGUAAUCCUUAUAGCCUUCUGUUUUUAUUUUUAACUUUCAAAACUUCCUUGCAUCUAGGGUUUUCAAACUCAUGCUGUAACCUUGAGAUGAUUAUAAAUACAUGCAUCCCAGUUUUGAUGGGUAUGCAAUUGAAGUAAAACUUUCAGCUUUCUUAAGUUUUACAAAAUGUACAAAUAGUAAGAAUAUAGGACCGAUUCGAAGAAUCAGAGUUUUUGGGUAAAACCAUCUUUAACGGUAAUAAAAAAGUUUUCUUCUACCAUCUGGUUCAAUACAGCGACUUUCGUGAAGUGGAAAACAUGAAUCAAGCGAUCAUAGAGAUUAGAGAUCCAAUUUUUUCUCUUCUUCUGUAAUCUGAUACAGAAGGAAAAAAAAAAAAACAGACAGCCGCAUGAAGAACACUGGUACAAUGAGUCCAAUUCAAUCCUAUACAGUAGAAGGGAUGUUGAUCCGGAAAAGGAAAACAAACAAAUAGCAAAUCUUGCCCAUAAAACUAUAUAAAAAUUUCAACAGAAUAAAACCAGAAACUCUUUAAAAUAUAACUAAAUAAAGAAGAGGGGGCAAAAGAACUUGCCUCCUUUGCACGCAAAGUCCGAUACUGGUAAUUAAUAUUCUCAACUUUCUCACUGUUUGGGAAGAUCUAAAAAACAACACGAGGAAUUCUGAGUGCUACAUCAGACAAAAUUACUUAAGUCCUAAUACAGUAGAAGGGAUUCUGACACAAUAAGAUCCUUGAGAAAAAUAAGCAAAAGCAUCAUGAUACAACCGACAUCACAAAUAGGGCAGGCUACAAUCACUUAAGACCAGAAAAAAGAAGAAGCUAACAUGCCGAUACAGCAGGCAGACAAGUCGUAAUUACCUUGUAUAUCUUGUGAUCGAGAACCUCAAGCAGUCGCAGUUCUGCAUUUGGAUGAGACCGCUUUACCUGUUUCAAGUACACCAUACAUUGAGAAAGAUCCAUAAUGGUGUUUAAGAGGCGCUGAUAACAAUUGCUACCAAUUUUGUCAAGUUAUGAUCACCGCUGCAAGUUGAGUGCAAUCCAUUAUUGGCAACUAUAAAGGACAGAAAGUACAAAAACUCGUAGAAGGGAGGGAGAAGAGUAGUUUUCAAUCAAUUAAAGGCUCUGCAGCGCUAACGUAAUGUAUGGAAGCAUCAUUAGCUUUCCUGAACAAAAAAUGAAAAACAAAAACACACAGAGGACUUCCCAUACGAUUGGCAGAAACUUUUAGAUGGGAAGUCAUGGAUAAUACAUGGAAUGCAAAGAUAGAGAGAAAUCCACCUUCGUUUUAAGUACAUUAAUCAUAUCCCCAACACCAACAAUGCUCUGUUUGGGCAAUAUAAUACCUGUAAAUCCCCAUCUAACACGGAAUGCAAGGAUAGAGAGACUCCCUCAAUUUCAAGCGGAGUAGAUUUCUGAAAACAUAUAAUGUCCCCAUCUUCAAUCUGGAGAAGAAAGCAACAGACCUAUAAAAGCUUAAAACUUAAAUCUUAUUGCAAGCGUGCAAUAUAGCAACAAUUACCAGGCUCGACUCGAAAGAGGUCAUCUUGUCAAGGUCUACACACAUGACAAAAGGCUCAAACUUUAAUUCCUGAAUGUAGCGCAAACACAUACGUAAGUUUAUGUAUAAGAAUGCUGCAGCAAAGUAUGCAUCAAAUUAUAAACUUACAUGUACAUUCAAAGACUAUCUCCAACCAUUGGCCUAAAACCUAAAAUUUUAUCUCUGGAAAUUUAGGUUUUAACUCAUAAAUAGUUUUUCUGCACCAACCCUUAUGGCCUAAAAUUUUAGGCUCACAUUAUUAAAUAAUGAAUUUAGGGUAAUUUUUGUGGAUGCAAAUUUCUUCAUCCUUGCUCUUGGACAAAAUUGCACAUACAAAACAAAUAACAUCUUAGGUCAAGGCCAAGAGCCUCACGCGUCCAUGAUGAAUGAGGGGUAUUGGCCGAAGAACCUCCGAUGCCAAAGUUAGAAUUUUGAGGGAAAAAUAUUUGGAGAAUUUAGAGAGUUUAGCAAGAGAAUUGGAAUUGAGUUUUGGAGAAAAUGAGGUAGUAUUUAUAGGGGUGUGGCCGGCCCCUUUAGGAGGAGGAGGACCGGUCACUUGGUUGGUAUUUUGGGUGAGGUUCAUGAUUUGUAGCUAAUUAGGAAUAAUUGAAUAAUAAAUUAAUUAAUAUAAUAAAAGAUGAAUGAUUUGGGAGUUACCUUGUGGAGAUUAUUUGAUAAGGAUAGAUGAAAUAUGUUUUGAAUUAUUACUUAUUUUGGGAACUUUUGACUUGGUUGAGGGAUGAUUGCCUACUGCUCGCACGUAGGAAUCCCGAUGUGCCUUGAGGGUAAUUUUGACCUUUUCACCCUAGAAUCCACGUGUUGCCUCCAUAUUUUUCUCGAUUAUUUUUGUCUCAACAAAUUUUUUUUUUUAAAUUGACUUUUUAAAAAACAAAAUUAUGUAGAUUAUCCUAAAUUAAUUUUAUGAACAUUUUAUCCUAAAAAUAUUUAAAUUCUAAUAAACAUUGAAAAAUCACUAAAUUGACACAUGAAACUCAUAAAACACUAUUGAAGAAUUUGAAACACAUGAUAGAGAUGUAUAAACACAAGACACAUGAGCAAACACAUGAUUUUGGAAGAUUGUAGAAAGAAAAAUUAGAAGAAUUAUAGGCGAAAAGUGAGUUUUGUGUGGAUGUUUCAACAAAUAUAUAAGUAUUUAUAGAGUUUUUGGAUGAAUUUUGAGUUAAAUAACUUUUUAUAAUUAUUUUAAUAGUUGAAUUUAAAUUUGGGCCGUUAGAUCUUUUUUUUUUACCGUUAGAUUUGAUUAUAUUCGAUCUCAGUUGUUGGAUUCAAUAAAUUUAUAAAUAUAAAACAAAAAUAUUAACUAAAUUAAACGUAGAUCGUUGGAUAACCAACAACUCAUUUGAAUGUGAACCGUUGAUCAACCAAAAGAGCCGUUGAGCUCAAUUUUAUUGGCAGACAAGUGGGAGACACACCCAUGUGGGUGUGGGCUCCACCACUAAUCUUGGCCUAAAUUUGGCUUUUUUUUUUGGGUUUUAGGUCCAAAUUAGAACUUGGGUUGGAAUGGAUUGGGGGGAAUAGAAGGGGAAUUAUAGGUUUUAAGCCAUGGGUUGGAGUUGGCCUAAUGUACGUAUAUAAGACACAACUGAUGCUACAAAAUUAAUGUGAAACACACCUCAUAAAUUUCAAGUUCAUCAUCAAGGGAAAAACCAACAAGUUGAUUGAACUUUGUUAAAAUCUCUACUGGCUUUGUAAAAACUCUUCAGGGAAAGCCUGCCAACAAAACUGGAAACAGAAAAGAACCUUAAAUCAGCAAAGAUGAAUCAUAAGAAAACUAUGAGCAGAAAGAGCCAUACCGCAGUUCUUGUUUCUCAGGUUCAUAAAGCUUAAAGAAAAGCAGGAUAUCUUCCUUGGUUUUGUCAAGAAGAGGAAUGGGACGUAGAUUCUGGAGAAUUUAUACAAGCAGAAAAUAUAAGAAAUUAUGGUUUUCAUAAAGCACUUGGAACUACAACAAGCCUCAAAACACGGGUCAUAACAAGAAUAUAGUAAGACUGGAUUACCGGUCCAAACUCUACUUCCAAAAACGACUUUAGCUCCGCACUGUGCUGACAUGAUACCCCUCUAAGUUGUCCAUCCUGUAAAACACAAGGAGUCAUCAUUAGCUCUAGUUGACACUGAUGUACAGCCAAAAGACAAUCAACCAUUUCAAAAUUUGAGAUCCAAUGUUUAUAACUGCCCAUCAACCUUUUUUUUUUUACAAUAAUAACUUCAUUUAAAAUGCCUUAUCCAAUACUGAAAACAAAAUGAUUAUCGAAAUAUUCAUUAACAACUUUUUACAUUCCAAUGUCGAAAGAGAAAUUGACAGUUAUGAGCAUACAUCAUUCGUUCAUAAACUUGAAAACUUCAGUGUCGGACCUAAAGUAAAAAUUCAGACACAAUGAGAAGUAUGAAUCACAAAAGGAACAAGGAGCAGUGCCUCCAAGUUUAUGCUUGAAUAGAAAAUUCUUUCAAAGGUAGGAAUUGUGAUGUACAUACUGAGGGCGCGUUUACUAAUUCGUAAUCAAAUUGAGGGGAAUUGAAUUGAUGAGGAAUUGGAAUGAGGUGGAUUCAGAAUCGGAUUCCUGUUGAAGCAGUUUACUUAAAUGUUCUGGAAUUAGAAUAGAAAUGAUACUAUUUCUAUAAAGCUGUUUACUAAUUUAACAGAAUCGGAAUAUAAACUAGUAUGAUUACUAAAAUGCCCUAGUCCCAAAUCAAAUAUUUUAUAUACUUUUUUUUAAUAAAAUUUGAUGUAAUAUAUAAUAGUAAGAAAAAAAAUUAUUUGAAAUUUUAACGAUUCCCGUGUUUGUUAUUUUUAAUAAAACUUGAAUUCUUUUUUUUUUCUUUCACUUUUUGCUCUUUCAUGAGUAAAAAACUCAUUCGACAAAAAAAGUUAAAAAACCCAACAACAAAAAUAACAGGAGUCGGGAGAGGUUCUGGAACCUUCACAGUUCCAUUUCCACCACAACCUUCUUUACUCUCCCCCAUCUGCAUCCUCAAUUGGUUUUUGCCAUCAUCUCUUGACCUUGUUCUGUUCUUUACUCUCCUUCUGUCGGGUCAUCGAGUUGUAAACGAUGAACUCCUUGUUGGCAACCAUUCUUGGAUUUCACAACCCCUUGUCAGCCGCUCAAUGCUAUCUGUAAAAAUGUCUGCAAUCGAAUUGGGAAAAAAAACCAAACUGUAAGUCAAGUUGCCAUUUUUCCAAUUCGAUUCUCAGUGUGCAAAUCAUAAGGUUUGCUUUUAUCUAUAUACUCCUCUGCAUCUGUCUCUCCACAACUGGAAUUGGAUCUGCGGCUAUCGGGAGUUUGUUGGUAGAACUGUUGGGUCGGUUGGUGGUGGGUCUUGGCAGUCUAGGAGGUGGUGCGGUGGUGUGAGUUGAUUAAGGGGUGGCGAUGAGUGUGCUUUUCAUGGUUGAAUCGUGAUGAAAGGGGCAGACUAAUUUCGGUAGAGAAGUUUGAUUCCGGAAGUUGGCCUUCUUUCGGAAUUCAAAUACCUCCUCCAAGUUAGUAAUUGGAUUCCGGCAAUAUUAGGAAUCUGAUUACUGAUUUUGGGUGGAGCCCACGAAUAUUUUCAUUCCCAAAAUUUAGUAAACGUGGGAAUCAGUUGGGGAAGAAUUCAAUUCUCAUUCUUCUACCUCCAUUCCGGUUUAGUAAACACGCCAUUAGUGAAGAUAAUAUCGUUUGUUCAAAAAAAAAAAACAAUUUGUAUCACGUCAAAUUGUCAAGCAAUGGUCAAUCAAACUCGCUAAUUUGGUGUUAAAUUCAAAUUGUGUUGUUGUACCCUGUUAAAAUCGUCACCUCCAAGAAGAAAGAGAUGAUACAAAAGUUGAAAAUAAAGUGUUUAGGAUAAAUUUAGAGUUCUCUAUAAUCUCACAAUUCUCAAAUACAACUUUGAUACUUUAUUCUUCUCCAUAAUGAGGUAUUUAUAAGAUUACAAAUGAGCAAUACUAAGAACUAAAUCAAAACAAUGAUUUGUCUACAAGACAAGGAAACCUAGACCAAAUCAAAUUAUAUGAAAACCCUAAUUAAAUCAAAUCCUAAAAUAUUUUCCUCUUUAUUUUCCAUCACCCCUCAACCUCAUGAUGUGAAAUCAUGAGUUUUCCAAGGAGGAAAUCUUCAUUGACAUGUUGUAACUAACGCCAAUCUUUCCGAAAACUCAGCAAAUCACAAUUCGUCAGAACUAACACCUAUUUUCAAAUGCCCAUUUGGAACUAGCGCCAAUCUUUUCGAAAGCCUAAUUAGAACAAACGUCUCUUUUCAAAAGCCCGAUGAGCACAUCAUAAUCCUCGGAACUAACGCCUCUUUUCGAAAGCCCAACUUGAACUAACGUUAUUUUUUUCGAAAGCCCAAUUGGAACUAACGUCUUUUUUUUGAAAGCCCGAUAUAUAAAUCUCUUGAUAUGUUGGAAUCAAUGCCUCUUUUUGAAAGCCCAGUUGAAACAAACGCUAAUCUUUUUGAAAGCUCAACUGAAAGUAACGUCUCUUUUUGAAAGCCCCAACCACCAAAUAUUUUUUUCCUGUAAUUCUUUUUUCAUUCUUGUUGUUUUUUUUUCUUUAUUUUCUUCCUCAAACUCAUAACUAAACUAAAUUAAAAAAAUAAAUAAAUAAAACAAAACCCAAAAUCUUUCAUGAUUGGAAAUGUAUCCUACCUUGACAAAACUUUUUUCUUCUUCUAAUCUCUUUCCUCCAAGGCAUUGAAAUCACACACUUUUCUUCUCUUUAUUCUUCUUCAUGGCAGCGGAAAUUUAUCUUCUUCUAACAAUCGUAAACAAUCUUCACCUCAAGUUCAUGGCAUGUGGGUGAACGAGAAAAUUAGCUUUGUGUGCCCACAUGGAAGUGCUCUUUGUGUGCCCACAUGGAAGUGAACUCCUCGUAAGCCGCAUCUGAGCAGAGAGUGGCUAGGCUGCUUCUAGAAUAGAGGCUCACAGUGUCUAACGCAGCCAAAGCCUCGGCCGAUGGUGCACUGGCCAAAGUGGAUUUCAGUAGUUCCUCAGCAGCAGACAACCUUUUCAAAGUAAGGUUGUCAGCAACCUCGGCUUCAAUUACGACUAUAUCAUUCAGCAGAAAACCCCAGCAUGGGUCACAAAGCACAGCAAGAGAUAUUAAACGUGUGAAUCCCCAGUCACUUUCUCUUGUCCGGCUGCACAAAAAAAAAAAAAAAAAAAAAAAAAAUCAUAUUAAGGAAUCAAUAAAAAAAAAAAGCUAAGAGACAUUUGAACCGAAGAGAAUAACAAAGAAGGAAAGAAUAAUAUACUCUCUCUCAUUGAAUCCUUUCUGUGAAUCUGAUUAACUACAGUCAAGCUGAAAUCCGCAAUUCUACUCCACCCAUAUGGCAAUGACUCAGAAUCCGCCACAUCUAAAUACGCGGACAAGAAGUCUACAUCGUUUCCCUUGGGAAAUAUUAGUACCCGCCUGAUCAGACAAACCAAAGCAAUUGAUCAGAAUCCAGUCACCAAGAUAAAAAGAACAAACACAGGAAAUUUCAGCUUUUAACAUGUAGUUGAAAUGGUAAACAUACCAUUUAUAAUCCUCGGCGAGGAAGAUAUCAGAGUAGAGUUUCUUGGUGUUCAGCCUAGUAAAGUUUUCGAUUGUCCAAGUGAAUUUCAUGGCUGGAGAUCCAUAAAGCUGUGACAAUUAACUGUACUGCUAGAAAGGGUCGACUUGAACUACUACCAAAAGAUCAAAUAUCACAAAUAUCAAAACAUACAACAAAACUCAAAGAAUCAAAAUUUUAAGAACUAGUGCAAGAUAUAAAGCCUCAAAAAUAUAUUCGUUCUGUGUGCGUUUCCUUCACACCAUUCUUCCUCAUCACUUAUAUAUCCCUCAUUUCUCCCCUAAAUUUUUCCUCUAUUUCUAACACAAAAAUAUAUAAAAAAACUAAACACAAAAUCGUAAUCAAAUUGGCCCUUAUGAAAUGCACUCACUUGCACUUUAAACAGAAACACACAAGAAAAAUUUGGAGAUCAACUAUGCAACACAUAAAGCUUAAAAACUACGCCAUGAACAAAGUAUAAGCAAUCGAAACAGUGAAUUAAUGUAAAACCACAAGGUUGUACUUGUGUCUAACAUAUAACGUUUCAUAAUACUUCGAUCUCUUCUCGUUCUUUCUUCAACUUAAUCCGUGGAUUCUUUUUUUAAAUUUGUUUUAUAAUACUUCGAUUUCUUUUAAAAUUUGCAUAUUGUAUGGAGAGCAAAACUUUAAAAAUAUAAAAUUACCACGUAAGUUAUUAAAUUUAAAUUUUAUAUUUUAAUCAUCAUCUUUGGAGAUGGUCUAAAGUGAUCUGCUAUUCUUUUUUAAUACAAAGGGGUCCUUUAGAGCACCUCGGGGGAGGUUGCUCGGGGGCUGUGGAUCAAACAGUAGCAAAUUGCUGGGGGGAUGAGCUCCAGCGUAUGGAAGCCCGAGCAACAGGCGAGGCCCGAGGAGCAGGCCCGUCGAGGAUUGCCAGCCCGAGAGCCCGAGGGUUGCGUCAGGCGCGUGCGUUUCACGCGCGCGUGGGCGCGAGUCGUCUGACAAAAAAACAGGGCUGGGGCCCGCGAUUUCAGUUUUGAAAAGUAACCGUUGGGGAAGCCACGUGGCUUCCCCAUGUCUGUUCGAUUGAAACGGUCAUAUUUUAUGGACCGUUGGAUUUCCAACGGUAAAAAACAUUUAAAAAUCUCAUUUAAUUUCAUCUGUUUGAUCUAAAAUCAACGGUUCACGUUAUUAGGCUUUGUAAAUUAUAUAUAAAAAAAAGAAAAAACUGUUUAAAAAUCUAAAAUGUUACUGUUGUGACACGUGGCACAAUCUGGAGUGUUGGAAUUUAAAUUUUUUUAAAUCCAACGGCAAAGAUUAAUUAGGUGAAUAAAAAUUUAAAAAAAAUGUAAAAAAAUUCUUAAAAAUCCGAAAAAAAAUUAUGAAAAAUUAUAAAAAAAUUUGAUUUCACUUCACCUAUAAAUACCUUCUCAUUAUCUUCUACCCUACACCACAAUUUCAUAUUUUCUCAACUACUUUCAACCACAUUCCUAUCUUUCUUUCAAAGUUUCAAUCCAAUUUUUUUCCAACAAAAUGACUACUCAACAAGGUACGAAUUGGACGCUUCUUGAAGAUGUUGCGUUGUGUACUAGUUGGGUUCAAGUUACUCAUGAUUCGAUUACGGGUAAUGAGAUGCAGUUGCGAGAAAUGUGGAGUCUUAUUCAUACCAAUUAUCUUGAGAAAAUGGGUGGGCAAAGAACUAAAGAAUCGAUGUCCAGUCGUUGGAAAUUACUUAGUCAAUCGUUUAGUACGUGGAGAGACGCCUUGGCACAAGCUAGUGGUAAUCUUCGAAGUGGGGAAAAUUUAACGGAUAAGGUAACAAUAUAUUAUUUAUUUGUUAGCUACUUUCAUUAUAUUUAUUUGUUUGUAUUAUUUAUUUGUUAUCUUCUUUCAUUAUAAUUAUUUGUUAGCUACUUUCAUUAUAUUUAUUUGUUUGUAUUAUUUGUUACCUACUUUCAUUAUAAUUAUUUGUUAGCUACUUUCAUUAUAAUUAUUUGUUUGUAUUAUUUAUUUGUUACCUACUUUCAUUAUAAUUAUUUGGUUGUAUUAUUUAUUUGUUACCUACUUUCAUUAUAAUUAUUUGUUAGCUACUUUCAUUAUAAUUAUUUGUUAGCUACUUUCAUUAUAUUUAUUUGUUUGUAUUAUUUAUUUGUUACCUACUUUCAUUAUAAUUAUUUGUUAGCUACUUUCAUUUAUAAUUAUUUGUUUGUAUUAUUUAUUUGUUACAUACUUUCAUUAUAAUUAUUUAUUUGUUACCUAUUCUCAUUAUAAUUAUUUGUUUGUGUAGGAACUUCAAGCACAAGCUUGGUAUGGUGCCAAAACCAAAAGCAAAAACAAAACAUUCACCCGGUUUGAAUGUUGGAAUAUUGUCAAAGAUUGUCCUAAAUUAGAGUUGUGCAUGUCGGUCCAGAAGUUUUCAUGAACAGCACCCCUCUACACUCUACACCUGAGCAUGCCUCGCAUGAUCAUGAUGAAGAUGAUGAAGAAGUGCUUGAAACGCCCCCCGUUGAACAAGCGUCGGGGUCGACCCGUUAUCCAAUUAGGCCUCAAGGUAAGAAGGCUUCAAAGAGAAAAGGUAAUGCUUCCAAGAAUGAUUAUGCAAAGUAUAUGGAAGAUCUUGCCCGCCAAGGUGAAUUGAAUUUGGCCCGGGAAAUGGCUAAAUUUGAGGCUGAUAAGGCUAGAGAGGAUGCAAAAGCUGCAGCUUUUGAGAGAAAAUUUGAAGCUGAUGAGAGAGAAAGAGAACUACUUCGGCAAGAAAGGGAACAUAGAAGAGAAGAAAGAAUGGCUGAACGAGAUCGUGACAUUAUGAAGGAGCCUUUAGAAGGGAAGUCUCCAGACUCUAAAUAUUUUUGGAAGUCAGAGAAAGCGGAUGUGGUGCGAAGGAUGCGUGCAAGAGAAGCGAGAGCAAGAGGAGAUGGUCCUAGCACCACAAGAGAAGAUUAUCCUAGCAUGACAAGAGAAGAUCAUCCUAGCACCACAAAUUGGUUAGGUGAUGGUUAUCAUCCAUUCACGAACCCAUAAUUUUCCAAUCAAUUCGGGUUGUAAUUUCUUAUUCGGGUUGUAAUUUCUUAUUCGGGUUGUAAUUUCUUAUUCAUUGAAUAGAGUACUUUAUGUUGUUUCCAAUUUAUUGAACUUAGUACUUUAUUCAAAACACAUUUAAACACACCAAAUAAAAUAACAUCAACACACCAAAAAAACACACCAAAUAAAAACAAACACCAAAUAAAAUAAAAUUACAUUUCAACUCACUAAAUGAACUAAAAAAACACACCACAUAAAAUAAAAUAAACACACCAAAUAAAAACAAACACCAAAUAAAAUAAAAUUACAUUUCAACUCACUAAAUGAACUAAAAAAACACACCACAUAAAAUAAAAUAAACACACCAAAUAAAAACAAACACUAAUGAACUUAAGUAUCGUCAGCACCCCUCAAUUCCCACUGGUGCUCUAUCAAGUCAAGUUGGCGGGCAUUGUGCAUAUUUGACCUUUGAAGUGCAGUAUAUCGUUGGAUGAUCCUUUCAUUGUAACGUCCAUCCCUUUCUAAUGGCUCAUGUUGCACGGGCUCAUCGGUGGCGUCAUGAGCACAAUAUAUACGUGUUCUUGAAUUGUUCAUCGUGUCUGGCUCAUAUUCAUCAACGGCUUCAUAAUCGUACUCAUCUUCCACAAUCAUGUUGUGAAGAAUGAUGCACGUCAUCAUGAUGGAUCGAAGCGACUCUACAUCAAACAAUCUGGCAGCACCCCUGAUGAUCGCCCAGCGAGCUUGGAGGAUACCGAAACAACGCUCCACAUCCUUCCUGCACCCUUCUUGACAUCUUGCAAAGUGUUUUUUCCUUUGCACUGCGCGGACGUGGCACUGUUUUGACAAAUGUUGACCACCUUGGGUAAAUGCCAUCAGCUAGGUAGUAUGGCCCGUCGUACAUACGUCCAUUGACCUCAUACGUGACUUUUGGUGCCUUUCCUUGCAGGACAUCGUUGAACACUGGGGAUUGGGCAAGGACGUUGAGGUCAUUUUGAGCUCCCGGAACCCCGAAAAAGGCGUGCCAAAUCCAUGUAUCAAAAGAUGCCACCGCCUCCAAAAUGAUACUUUUUGAUCCUUUUCUGUCCCCAUAAGCGCCUUGCCAUGCACUUGGACAGUUUUUCCAAGUCCAGUGCAUACAAUCAAUGCUUCCAAUCAUCCCUGGAAAACCUCGCAUCUCGCCUUUCUUCAGAAGCCUUUGCAAGUCCAUAUGAGUAGGUAUCCGGAGGUACUCUGCGGUGUAGAUAGAUUCGAUUGCCGAACAAAACCUCAUGAGGGACUCAAGAAUGGUUGAUUGUCCCAUCCUCGUUAUCUCGUCCACUUGGUCUGCAGCUGCUCCAUAUGCAAGCAUCCGCAAGGCAGCAGUAAUUUUUUGCUGAGGCAGGAGACCCAUAGCACCAAAAGCAUCCGGCUUUUGCACAAAGUAAGAAUCAUGGUUGCAAACAGCGCCCAUGAUUUUGUUGAACAAAUGUCGUUCCAUUCUAAAACGAUGUCGGAAGUAUGUAUCAGGGAAUGCACUGUUACGGACAAAAUAAUCGUCCAAGAGCUCCUGACCUCGUCGUUGCCUGUUUCUAUCAAUGUUUACAGCACGGUUGGGCCUGCAGAUAUGAGCCACAGCUUGGACGACUCGACGGGAUUGUGAGGCUCCUGCCAUUCUUGAUUCGUCAUCUCUCCGUCUACGCUCGUCAUCCUCUUCCAUCUCAUUUUGGGCCCAAUCCCCAACAUUGAACAUUCCUUGUGAUUGGUUAAACAAUUCUUCCUCUUCUUGCUCGAUUUCCCACAUCAUCUUUGAAGAAGAAGAAGAAGACAUUGUAAGAAGGAAGCAGAAACUAUGAAUAAUGAUAGGGAUUUUGGUGAAGAAGGAAGAAAAAACUAUGAAUAAUGAUAGGGAUUUUGGCGAAGAAGGAAGCAGAAACUAUGAAUAAUGAUAGAGAUCUUGAGAAAAUUGGUGUGAGAUUUAUGAGGAUGGAUGGGGGAUUAUAUGGAGGAUUCAGAAGGGAUUAGGUUGUAGAUAAUGCCACGUGGCAUGCCGUCAUUCGUUAAAAAUCUGGUGGAAAUCUAUCCUCAAAGAUUGUAAUCGGAUUAUGACACGUGGCACGAUGUGAUUGGUUAAAAAUCUUAUCAGAAAUCCAUCACCAAUAAUUGUCUUUUCAGAUAAUGACACGUGCCUUGACACAACGAUUAAAAAUCUUAUCGGAAAUCCAUCACCAAUAAUUUUCUUUGCGGAUAAUGACACGUGGCGCAACGAGAACGAUUAAAAAUCUUAUCCGAAAUAACAAAUAUAAUUAUUUUGAAUUAUUUUAUAAAUAAAAAAAUACAAAAAUUUUAUUGCUAUUGGCUUUUCGGAUAAUGACACGUGGCGCAACGAGAACGAUUAAAAAUCUUAUCCGAAAUUACAAAUAAAAUUAUUAUGUAUUAUUUUAUAAAUAAAAAAAUACUAAUAUUUUAUUGCCAAUUGCCAGGGCUAUUCAGUGCAGGGGUGGAGAUGCAAAAGGCAAUUGCCAGGGGAAUGCACUAUUUAUUAAGGGCAGUUACUGUUCACUAGGUGGAUUAAAUAGUGAAUUGCCGAAACAGAAGAUGAUUGUAUCAAAGAAGAUGAUUGUAUCAAGGGAUGUUAUAAAUUUUAUAACCUUGAUUCAAAGAAGAUGAUUGUAUCAAGGGAUGUUAUAUUUGAUGAAAAUGCUUGCUGAGAUUAGAAAUGUCAAUCUGAGAAGAGUAUCAGUGUACCAAUAACUGAUGAAGAUCUUUGUGAACAAAGGGAAGAAGGGAGUUCAAGUGAUAGAUGUGAUAUAAGUAAUGAGCCUCUGAUACCAGCAUCUGAAACUUGUGAAUCAAUUGAAAAUAGUUCAAGAUUGGUACUAAUGCAGAAUAAAACAGGUCCUCAAGAAUAUGACCACACUCCACUGAAAUUCAAGAGCAUGACAGAAGUGUAUGCCAAGUGUAAUUUGUGUAUUGUUGAGCCUAAAAGCUUUGAGGAGGCAGCCAAAGAUGAGCCAUGACAGAAAGUAAUGAAGGUAGAAAUUGCUAUGAUAGAGAAGAACUACACUUGAGAGCUUGUUGAUAAACCAUUUGACAAGCCAGUAAUUAGUGUCAAGUGGAUCUACAAGACAAAAUUAAACCUAGUUGGAUCUAUACAAAGCAAGAUUGGUUGCAAAGAGGUACUCUUAAAAGCCUGGGGUUGAUUUCAAUGAGACAUUUGCUCAUGUGGCAAGACUUGAUACAAUUAGAACUCUAAUUGGUUUAGUUGCACAGAAAUGGUGGAGAUUAUUCCAACUUGAUGUAAAAUUAGCAUUCUUGAAUAGGGUUCUAAAUGAAGAAGUGUAUAUGGAUCAGCCACUUGGGUUUGUGGUUGCAGGAAAGGAAAACAAGGUUUACAAGCUCAAGAAACGCUCUAUGGUUUGAAACAGGCACUAAGGGCCUGGUAUGAAGAGAUUGACUCUUAUUUCUAUAAUGCUGGCUUUCAUAGAAGUCCAAGUGAGGCAACUCUUUACAUCAAAGCAACUGAAGCAUGAAUUCUCAUUGUUUCUUUGUAUGUGGAUGACAUCAUAUACACAGGAACUUCUAGUGCAAUGAUGGAUGAGUUUAAAGAUGAAAUGAUGAAGAAAUAUGAGAUGUCAGAUUUAGGUCUGUUGCAUCACUUCAUGGGGCUUGAUGUAAUUCAAACAGAAGACUGCAUCUUCAUGCAUCAAAAGAAAUAUUCUAGAACCUUGCUAGAGAAGUUUGGACUGAAGGAUUGCAAAUAUGUUGCCACUCUACUUGCAACAAAUGAAAAACUAUGAAAAGUUGAUGGUAGUGAAAUUGUUGAUGAAAGUCUUUAUUGUUGGUAGUUUGUUAUACUUAACAACUACAAGACUUGAUAUUAUGUUGUUGCGAGUUUGCUAGCAAGAUUUAUGCAUAAUCCAACCAGAAAGCACAUAGGAACUGCAAAGAGGAUGCUGAGGUAUAUCCAAGGAACACUGGAUUAUGGAAUUGCAUAUGAGAAAGACAAAGAUGUUGUGCUUAUUGGCUAUUGUGAUAGUGAUUGGGCAGGGAGUAAAGAUGAUAUGAAGAGUACUUCAGGCUAUGUUUUCAAUUUUGGUUCUGGGGCAUUCUCUUGGGCCUCAAUCAAGCAAAGUAAUGUAGCAUUAUUGUUACACCAUACCCCAUUUUAAAAAUAUUUUUGGUCUUAAUUGGUGAGCCCAAGGGGCCUACCCCUUUAUUUGUGUCAUCAGUUCCUUUUCCUUCUCAUUUCUUUAUUAUUUCCUUCUCUCUGAGCUCCCUCUGUCUCAUUCCUAUCUCUCUCAACAACUCUUUCCAUACCUUUCCGAUGCACCCCCAUCCACCCACCCACACACACUCAUUCUCACACCCAACUGGCCAUGACGCACCACCCAUCACCAUCACUCGGACCUCCAUUCUCUCAUUCACAUCUCCGGUUUAUCUUUGACACUAUGCACAAUCACUGUGCAAGUGUUUUCCAAUGAAGGUAAGUUGAACCACUGUUCCAUCUUUCUCCCUAGUAGUCUAGAAGGCUUAGUGGUUGCUAAAAACUGGUUUUUGGUGAAGGUUUAAAUGUGAAAACUGCUCGGGGAGCAUUCUCCAUAUUUUCCGGCGAGCAUAGCCCCUUUUGAGGCGUUUUUUGGCCAAAACACGGUGAGUUAGACAUUUUACUAGGUACCAUUCUCUUUGUCUCUUCGAGGGCUAUGGUUUCCAUUUUUGAAUCACUUGAUUUCGUUGAGUAUUGACAAAGUUAUGAACGUUUAAAGUUAAGGAACUUUCCGGCCGAAUUUUGGCCUUCCUCUUCCCUGAGGUCCGGCGUCCACCUUUCCUAGUCGAACCAGGCCUUUUAGGCCACCUCAGAGACCAUCGGGCCUUAGGCCCGUUUCAGACCCAAGCCCAAGUCAUUUUCGUUUAUUAUUAAUUGUUUUGGUUUAAUUAAAUUGUAAAAGGCCUUUGGGCCUUAUCUAUAAACACAAAACCUUUUUCAAAUUAGGCAUUCGGGCCGUAAGGAGAUUGGGCCUUUGGGCCCGUGAAGUUUAAACCCUAACCCAGCCCACCCAUUUUUCCGAAACCCAUUAACUCUAAUUCUAAAACCCAAAUUCUAAACAUUUUUCCUAUAAACCCUAAACCCCUAAGUCUAACCCUAAACCCUAAAGCCCUAAAGCCCUAAACCUAAACCCUAAAGUCCUAAACCCUAAACCCUAACCGACCCAAACCCUUUAUGUGGAAUAUUCCAUCAAGGAAUAUUCCAUUAGAGAAUUUUCCAUCAGGAAAUAUUCUUUGGAAUAUUCUAUUGACGUUUACAAAAUUAUCUGGGACCUUUCUCAGGGUAAUUCGACGUUCUGAAUCCGUUUUCGACGUCUGCUUUCCCAAAUUAAAUCGCUUGAGUAUAGUUUUAUUAAUUGGACCCUUUACGUGCUUAGAGGCAAUUAUUGUGAUGUUUUUGUGUUUGCUAGUUUGCGUGGCUCUUCGACGGCUAAGUAUCUGUGAGUGGACCCUUUCUAAAAAUGCAUGUUUAAAUAGUAGAAAUGCAUACAUGAAAAGCAUGAUUUAAUGAUUAUGUUUUAUGAAAUGUUUUGUGAGAUAACAUGCUUACUGAGGCUUACUAUUAUUUUUCCUAUAACCCAUGUUCUUAUAGAAUAUCCCAUGGAUGACGAUAUGAUAUUUAGAACAUGUUUCGAACACCUCUUUAUAGUAUAGAUGAUGGAUGACUUUAUACUAUAAAGUUGCUUUUCAAUACAUAUAUAUAUGUUCAAUGGUUUUAUACUUACCUACUGGUCUUUUUUACUACGGGACGUAGGGAUAGAUUCCGGUCCAUCCCGAGUGACGGUUUGGUGUUGGCAUAGGGCCUAGAGUGUGUUUCCUCUGGCUAUUAGCACAGGAGCCGGCAUGGGGCCUGAAGUGUAUUUUCCUCUGACUGUCUGCUCAGAGACGGGGAACCAACAUGGGGCAUGGGGGUUAUCGGACAUUCACUAGUGAUUAUUAUAUAUACAAGUUAUGAUUUGAGACAUUGCACGACAUGCUAGGUUUCGGAAAACCUAUGUUUAUCAUUAUAUGUGUGUUUUCAUAAAACCUGGGGGUUAGUAUGUUGAUAACUGUUUUAUUAUAUCUAUAUCAACUUGGUCCACUCAUGUUUGUUUUGAGCCCCCUUCAGGGUUUAGAAUCGAGACAUACAAUUCCGGCAUCAAGGCACUUCCGCAUCAGCAUUGUCGAGUCCUCUCGGUGUAGGACCCAUUACUUUAUUAAUUCAAUUUUAUAUUAUUUCUUUUAGUGUUCUAGUAGUUGUAUGCUCUGAACACGUUCAUGUUCUUUAUUCUUUUAUAAUUAUAAGUCUUAUUUAUCCCUUAUUUUCAGCUUUUGCACUCAAUAAAUGGCUUUCGUCACCCUCGGGUGUCGGCCGUGCUUAUCCUGGUAUUCGGGGAAUAUCAGGAUCGGGACGUGUCAAUUAUCCAUUGCAGAGGCAGAUUAUGUAAGUGUUGUAAAAGCAAUUGCACAAGCCAUCUGGUUAAGGUUUGUUCUCUUAAACUUUGGUGAGGAAAAAGUGGAGCCAACUCAAAUUUUAUGUGAUAACACCUCUGCCAUAGCAAUUUCGAAGAAUCCAAUAGCACAUCACAAGGCAAGGCAUAUCAACAGAAGGUUCCAUUUCAUCAGAGAUGCAUUGUAGAAUGAUGAAAUUGAUCUAAUCUAUUGCAAAACUGAAGAGCAAAUUGUUGAUAUAUUCACAAAGGCCUUGGCUAGAGAUCUAUUUGAGUAUUUGAGGAAAGCUUUGGGGGUGAUUUCAGCUAAACACUUAGAAUGGAUUGUUAAUAUGUAAGUGUAUUAGUAGAAAUAGCUUUAGCCAUUUUGUUUGUUUUAAUCAAAGCCCUUGGAUCACAUUCCAAAUGGAUGAUCUAGAUUAAGUUAGUAUAAGUGAUAUUAUGUGACACAUUUAACUAUCUCAUAGGAUAGAUGACAUGGAGGGGUGAGAUCAUUUCUUUAUGUUAGAAGAGAGAGAGAGAGAGAGAGUGGAAUUAUUCAUUUUCUGUUGCAACGGACAUAUUCCGAUCGCACUUGUAGAGAGAAGGUGAGAAUCAAUGAAAUUAGUUUUGCUUUCAUCACUGUGAAUACUCUCUGCAAUUCUCAGAAAUCCAUACAUAAAUCCAUUGAAUCACAAUACAAAACAUAUAAUCUAACAGAGUCUGCUUGUUUUGCCUUUAACUUCCGCCAAUUCAGACUCGAGUUAUGCUGCCUUGACAUCGUAAGUGGCCAUGCUAUCUUCUCUUUUGACAUUUAUGUAAGAAGUAAUUCGAAAAACAACAAGUUACUAGGAUCACAGAUAAAACAUAAAUAAUUACAAUAAACCAAUCAAACAAUUAAGGGAAAUAAACUUAUCUUCCAAAGCAGAGGAAAAAGACGCCAUGACUGCUAGGGUUUCAAAAGGAGUCUUCUACUUCCAGUACUUCAAUAAUAUCUCUCUGCUAUAUGAAUAGGGUUUAGCGUAUCUGAGAGAUUAAGCAUAUGAAAGCAGGGACUUAACCAUAGUAUUUAUAUCAUUAUGGUUUAAUCGCAGCCGACCUAUUAUUGGUUGUGAAAAUCAAAUCCUAUCACUUAAGUGAUUGAGUCCUACCAUGAUUCUAUAUCUUUGUAGCGAAACCUAUUAGAUGUUUUUGAGGUCAAGUGCAAAGGUUAAGACUCCAUAAUCCUUAUUUUACUAGGACUAUUAGAUUAAUUAUGUCGUUAACAACUCGAUAAACAAGUGGCUUACAACACAAGUAAUCCAAUACAUCAUUCAUUGUCAUUCACAACUUUACAAUUUAUGCAUGGUCAGUCCCAAUCGAGCUUUGAUCUCUUCGUCUUUUUUUUCUGCACCACUUACCGGAGAGUGCUCCAACCCAUGGUACUGCUCUCAUGCACCAUAAACAUCUCUUCUCUGAAGAAAACAAAGUUCAAAAGUUGAACAUCAAAGCAAUACGAAUACCCACAACAACGGUUCAGAUUGACCCUCAGACAUAUAAUAUGAAAGAAAAAGGACAUGAAUUGCAAUAGACCAUAUACAUACCUGAAAUCAGCUAGAAACAAUAUCAGAAUCCUACAAAUACUCUGAACGACUAAGUGACAUGAAUGCAAACUUCUACAGCACAACCGAAAGGGAAAUAGACGAGGUGGCAAUAAAGAACCGCUAAAUUCUAGCAAUAUAGAACACUAUAUUCCUCUUGUGACAACCUAAUAGAUAUAAGGUGUGGGUGAAGUACCUUCAUGAACUCUUUAUUGGGAUCCUGCAGUUUCCUUUAUUUGUACGCGUACUUUAAACUUCUGCUAAAGUUUCACCUUCAUGGAUGACCAGGAAGAAAGGUUUCUCGAAAUUUAUUACUUGCUAUUUGAAAUGUGUACAAAGAACAGUGAACAAGAUCAUUAAAAAGAAUCAAAAAGUACUUGGUGCAAUAAUUCUCUAGGUUUAACUGAACUAGUAAGCCAAUAUUUUGAUUCGGAAAAGAAAACUCGCAUUAAAAAUUAUCAAAAUUUCCUUCUUUGAAUUUUUUUAGAAAAUUCCAAUACCAUCUUGUUCUUUGCAGUCUCUUUUGUGAAGUGGUAAACUUGAAUCAAGCGUUGAUGAAGCCUCAAGAUUUUCACUUCUUCUGGAAUCUGAUACACAAAAAAUACAAAGAACUCAGCUUCAGAAAGACACUGGAAUCGAAUUUCAGGCCAUUCUAGUCUUAUACAGUAUAUGAAUGCAGAUUAAAAACCGGAAAACCACGUAAAUAUUACAGUUCUUGACCAUAAAAAAAAGGUCGUACCCAGUGCACAAGGCUCCCGCUUUACGCAGGGUCUUGGAGAGGUGAAAAAAGAGAAGCAGGAAAAGGAACUUGCCUCCUCAGCUCGUAAAGUCCAUAACCAGUCUUCUUGAUAAUAAGUUCCACAUUGAUGGGAGGAGGGACCUUACAUGGGCUUAUACUCCUCAUAUUGCCAAUUGGUUUUAUGAUGGAGGAGGGACCUUCCAUCAUAAAACCAAUUGGCCACAUUGAUAGGAAGAGGGACCUUGGAUGGGCUUAUAAGAGGUUGAGCUACUCCCUAUAUUGCCAAUUGGUUUUACAUACAGUGGAACCUCAACUUUCUUCAUAGAUUGGGGUUCCAUCACAACACUAAAUGGCAAUAUGAGGAGUAGCAUAACCUCUUAUAAGCCCAUACAAGGUCCCUCCUAUGUGGGACUUAUUCUCAACAUCUUCAAUAUUCUCAAUUUUUUCACUGCAUGGGAUGAUCUGAAAAGGAAACAUGAGAAAUUAUGAAUGCUCUUUCAUUUGAAACACAUAAAUAAGAGAUCAAAGUCUCAUACAAUCGGUCAACGACAUAAAUGGGGAAAAGCCACACUUUCUGGGCAAACCCUAAUCCAUGCUGAUACAAGAACAAGUACUUACCCUAUGAAUCUUGUGAUGGUAAACCUCAAGCAGUCUAAUAUCUGCAUCUGGAUGAGACAGCUGGACCUAUUUCAGAUACAUCGUACGUUGAGUAAAACCAGUUAUGCACAACUCUAAGAUGAAAAUGGGGGAUUUGGCUAGGGUGUGUGGGGAUGUUUUUACUUCGAGUAUCUGUCGAUUGUGUCUACACAUGAUUCUCAGAACAAGAUUGCUACAGACAUUGUGCAUAAGAUUUGUGUCUUACAAGAAAAAACUUCAGAAGGAAAAUAGAAAUAUCAAUUUAUGACAGCGCCAUUUGGUUUUGGAUACAAAACAAAACAGCACCAAACACAAAUGGAACUGCUCGUAUAGCUGGCAGAAGUUUUUAGAUGGACAAUCAUGGAUAAUAAAAUGUAGUAGCAACAUAUUUUAAAUAAGCAAUGCCAAAAUAAAGACAUCUAACCUUCCUUUUAAGUAUACUAAUCACAUCCCCGACAGUGUUCUGUUUGGGCAAUCUAAUACAGUGAAUCUCCAACUGUGAACAAAUUACAAAAGAUUAUGAUGAGUUGAAUGGUGUAAUAACGGUCCAUAAGUAGAGAAUACGAUCAAAUAUUUCACGACCUCAUCUUUUGUAGUAGGAUGAAAAGCAACUUGUAGACUUCUUAGGUCAUCUCCAACCGAAAGGGUUAAAUAUAGCCCCGUUCAGAAUUAUAGCCAUGCAAAAAAAUUAUUAUUAAAUCAACAUUAUCAUGCCAUACUCUUAUACUAUCUCCAACCGAAAGGGCUAAACAUAGCCCCUUCAAUAAUUUAUUAGUUUUAAGUUUAUACUUUAAAUUUAUUGGUUAAUUUAGUUAAAUUAUUGUUAGAUGGUUUCAAAUAUAACUGUUGAAUUUGAAUAAGUUAUUACAGUUGAGGAGCUGGACCCCAAAAAGGGGCUAAGAGGGGGGCUACAUUUGGUCAGUUUGAUGCUCUUUUGGCCAAAUAAUAGUCUGGUAGGCUUUAUAGAAUUAUAACAUAGCUAUUCAUUGGAGAUGAGUUUUUGGACAAAUCAAGCCAUUUUUUAGCUUUUGAACCCUUAGCUCUCUCCGUUGGAGAUGACCUUAGGGCUUGCACUUCUGGCCAAGGGAUGUCUAGGACUUCAUAAUAUAGAAUAUCAGAGCCCUGUAUAGAGAACGACAAUCACAAUGAGCAUCAAUAAUAAAUUAAACGACAGAGGCAUCUCAAUAUAGUGCCACCUACUAGAUUGUAAUGGACGAGCAUAUCUGUUAAAUGCUUUACGCUCCGUUAAUUGAUCGGUUGGCGCCUAGGUUGUUGAGAAUAGUAGCUAUAAACAAUGAGUCUGAUUUUGGUGGGAUCUUCUAAACCAAUUUUGCGAGCUACCUUCUCCACUGUAUCAUUGUAAGUGUGUAGCUUUGACCUAGAAAACACGAAGAAAAAAAAAACAGUUGCAGCACUGACUAACACAACAAUGACGGACACUCCUACUAUUGUUGGAAGCUAAACAGGUUCUGAAGUCAAAGGAUCGAAGGUAGCAAGGAGCUCCCGAGCAUGGUUUCUAUCUGCAUCGAAGAAGAAAAAAGAAAUGAAGGGUUAAAGCCUUCAACGGCUAGUUUUUGUUUAAAUGAAUGUGUGAGUGUGUGAGUGACAAGUGUACACUCCAGAUUAGGUUACUUAAAACCCAAAUGAAGGGUUAGGAUUCAAUAUGGAGUAGUAAGGUUAAAAUGGUUGUUAAGCCUCUUGUCAAUCACCUUUUUACACAAGUAUGGGUUAUGGCAAUGCACCACACCCUACUACAUUUCCCUUACUUAAUGAAAUAUGAGUUGCUGCAUUUUGCAUAGCCAAUCAAGCAGUCAAUCACAUCUCCAAGUCCUCUCCAUUCUUUGCUAAGAAACCGAUCCAAAAUAUAAACAAAAUCAUCCAAAACAAACAAACCUUUAUCAUGGCCUCAGAGCUAGUUUUCUGAUCUUACAACUUUCUGGGCGCACUUUGUGCAAGUUGAGAUAUUUGGGAGCACCUACUUAGUGUCCUCAACAACAACAACCAAUAAACAAUUCUGCAAAUGAAGGGAUCAAGCAGUAGCAGUGAGCUAAAAGCUCCAAUCUUUGAUGGAGAGAACUAUGACUUUUGGAGAAUAAGAAUGACAACCAUUUUCAAGUCCUAUGAUAUAUGGGAUAUGGUUCAACAUGGGUAUGAACUACCUGAGAUGGAGGUCGAUGCUCUAGAGGAGGACCUCACAGAAACACAACUCAAAACACUGAAGCAUAACCGAAUGGAGGAUGCUAGAGCACUUGGAAUCAUCCAAGGUGCUGUCUCAGGCACAAUUUUCUCGAGGAUAACAAAUGAAGAGAUUGCAAAGGGAGCUUAGGAAGUUUUACAACAAGAGUACAGAUGAGACACCAAAGUUAGAAAGGUAAAACUUCAGUCCCUUAGGAGAUAUUUCGAGUAUACAAGAAUGACGGAAAAUGAGUUGUUGAAAGAUUACUUUACUAGGCUAUUUGAUGUUGUAAAUAAGAUGAGAACAUAUGGUGAAGAACUGCCUAAUGAAAGAAUUGUCUAGAAAUUAUUGAUUAGUUUGACUAAACCCUAUGAUUCAAUAGUGAGUGUUAUUGAAGAAACCAAAGACACUGAAACUCUUAGUGUGCAAGAAGUGAUGGCAUCUUUAAGAGCUUUUGACCAAAGGCUUGAGAGGCAUGCUAAUUUUUCACCUGAGAAAGCUUUUCAAUCACUCAAUGUUGGAUCUAGUAGUCAAGCUAGUGCAAGCAAACAAAAACCACAGUGGAAGAGCAAGAACAAGAAAUGGGAAGGAAAAUGGUAUCAAAACCCUAGACCUAACUAAGGCAGCAACUUAAAUGAAGGUCCAAGAACCAAGCAACAAUGCAAGCACUGUGAUAAAUUCUAUCUUGGGGAGUGUUGGUUCAAGGACAAGCCUAGAUGUCACAAAUGUAACAAGUUCGGGCACAUUAUGAAGGAUUGCAGAUCAAGAAAUGUGCAGCAAGUGAACUGUGCAAACCAAGUUGAAGAAGAAACAAAUGUGUCAUGUGCUUUCAAUGCAAAAGUGGAGAAAAACAAUGAAGUGUGGUACAUUGAUAGUGGUUGCAGCAACCAUAUGACUGCACAUGAGUCAUUACUCAUUGAUAUUGACACAAACUUCACUGGAAAAUUGAAAAUGGGGGAUGGAAACAUUGUCAAAGCCACUGAAAGAGGAACUCUGGUCAUAACACUAAGAAAGGAAGAAGAUGCAUAAGGGAAGUGAUGUUAGUGCAUGGAUUGGAUGAGAAUCUACUUAGUGUGGGUCAAAUGAUGGAGCAUGGUUAUUUCCUACUCUUGGGGGGAAUUGUGAUUGAGAUCUAUGAUGACAAGUCCCUAUCAAACUUAGUGAGUAUAGUGGAAGUGAAAAACAGAAGCUUUCCACUUAUGUUGAAGUACCUAGAGGAAGUAUCAAGGAAAGCAAGUGUGACAGGUUCUAUGAAGUUAUGGCACAAAAGGCUUGGUCAUUUAAAUAUGACAAGCUUACAAAAUCUGCAAAAACAUGAAAUGGUGCAAGGUAUACCAAAGAUGGAUCAAUGCAAUGAAACCUGUGAAUGGUGUGUAUUUGGCAAACAUCACAGAGAUCCAUUUGAAGCUGGAAAGGCUUGGAGGGCAACAAAGCCACUCGAAUUGAUUCACACGGAUAUGUGUGGACCAAUGCAAACAACAACAAUCAAUGGAAACUAGUAUUUCCUAACCUUCAUUGAUGAUUACUCACGGAUGUGUUGGGUGUAUUUCAUGAGGUUCAAGUCUGAAGUAUUCACAAUAUUCAAGAAGUUCAAGGCAAUGGUGGAAUUGCAAAGUGGAUAUCAAAUCAAAAGACUAAGAAAUGAUAGGGGGAGAGUACACUUCUCUUGAGUUUAAUGCAUUCUAUGAAGAUUUGGGGUUGGAGAAGCAACUCACUGUGGCAUAUUUACCACAACAGAAUGACAUUGCAGAAAGGAAGAAUAGGACUAUAGUCGAAAUGGCUAAGUCUAUGAUGCAUGAGAAGAACAUGCCCUAUACAUUUUGGGGUGAAGCUGUGAACACCUCAGUGUACCUAUUGAAUAGGUGCCCUACUAAAGCAUUGGACAAUAAGACUCUAUUUGAAGUGUUCAGUUGAAGGAAGCCUUCUGUGAAGCAUAUGUGAGUGUGUUGGCUCAGUGUGCUAUACCCACAUUCCUCAACAACUAAGGCAGAAGUUGGAGAAAUCAAGUAACAAGGGUGUUUUUUGUGGGUUAUGGAACCAGUGAGAAAUGGUACAGAGUUUACAAUCUGUCAACUCAGAAGAUAAUCCUAUCAAGGGAUGUUAUAUUUGAUGAAGACUCAACAUGGAACUGGGAAACAAGGGUAGAAGAGAAGGACAAUGUCUCUUUACAACUUGACCUCAACAAAAGGUAAACAAGGGAGCCUAUGGAGACCUCAGUUUAAGAAGAAGUCACAGAAAAUGGUGACAUACAAGGGACUCCACAGCAAGCUAGCAUGAGUCCACAACCGAGUCAAUCAUAGAUAACAACUCCAAGUUCAACUCCAGUGAGGUUGAGAAACUUGGAUGAGAUAUAUGCUACAUGUAAUUACUGUGUAAUGGAACCAGAAACAUAUGAAGAAGCUGAGAAAGACAAAGCUUGGGAGAAAGCAAUGAAGGAAAAGCUUGAAAUGAUAGAGAAAAAUGAUACUUAGGAAUGUGUAAAUCGACCAAGUGACAAGCCUGUGAUUGGAGUGAAAUGGGUGUACAAAACCAAGCUCAACCUAGAUGGUUCUAUGCAAAAGAACAAGGCCAGGUUGGUUGCCAAAGGUUACUCAUAGAAACCAGGUGUAGACUUCAAUGAAACCUUUGCUCCAGUAGCAAGGUUAGACACCAUAAGGACCUUGAUAGCUCUAACAGCCAAGAAGGGUUGGAAACUACAUCAAUUGGAUGUCAAAUCUGCAUUUUUAAAUGGAGUGCUAGAGGAUGAGAUGUUUGUAGAACAACCUCAAGGGUUCACAAAUCAAGAGUUUCCAGAAAAGGUGUACGAGCUAAGGAAGGCUCUCUAUGGCCUAAAACAAGCUCUAAGAGCUUGGUACAGUGAGAUUGAUUCCUAUUUCACUGAGAAAGGAUUUCAGAAAAGUCCUAGUGAAGCUACACUCUACACCAAGACAGAAAGCAACAACAAGACACUCAUUGUCUCAAUCUAUGUGGAUGAUGUUGUCUACACUGGAAAUGAUGUUGCAAUGAUUGAAGAGUUCAAGGAAGAGAUGAUGAAGAGGUAUGAAAUGACUGACCUAGGCCUCUUACUCAUUUAGCAUCUUUAUUCAUCAAAGGAAGUAUGCUAAAACUUUGCUUGAAAAGUUUGGAUUAAAGGGAAGCAGACCAGUCUCUGCACCCCUAAUUGCAAAUGAAAAGCUUAAGAAGGAGUAUGGAAGUGAACCUGCAGAUGCUAGUCUCUAUAAAAGCAUUGUUGGCAGUCUAUUGUAUCUAACUGCAACAAGGCCGGAUCUAAUGUUCUUAGCAAGCCUACUUUCUAGGUUUAUGCAGAAUCCUAGCAAGAUACACAUGGGAACAGCAAAGAGAGUUUUAAGAUAUGUGCAAGGAACACUUGAUUAUGGGAUCAAGUAUGAAAUGAGGAAGUCAACGGAUUUUGUGACAAUGACUAAGGUGGCAGUGAAGAUGAUAGCAGAAGCAUAUCGGGCUAUGCUUUCACCUUUGGAUAAGGGGAAUUUUCAUGGGCCUCUGUGAAGCAACAAAGUGUUGCACUGUCCACAACCGAGGCAGAGUAUAUGAGUGUAUCAGAAGCUACAGCUCAAGCUAUUUGGCUAAGGUUUAUACUCAAAGACUUUGGCGAAUUGCAGGUUGAUGCCACACCACUUUUGUGUGACAACACCUCUGCAACUGCCAUGACCAAAAACCCAGUAUUUCAUCAGAGAACAAAGCACAUCAAAAGAAGAUAUCAUUUCAUCAGAGAGGCAUUGCAGAACAACACAAUCAAGCUAAUUUAUUGCAACAUAGAAGAUCAGAUCACAGACAUUUUCACAAAAGCAUUACAGAAUGAGAGAUUCAAUUACCUGAGGGGAUUGCUUGGAAUGACUCCCAUAAGCAGUUUAGAAGGGAGUUUUGGAAGCUAAACAGCUUCUGAAGUCGAAGGAUCGAAGGCAGCAAGGAGCUCCUGAGCAUGGUUUCUAUCUACAUCGAAGAAGAAAGAAGAAAUAAAGGGUUAAAGCUUCCAACGGCUAGUUUUUGUUUAAAUGAAUGUGUGAGUGUGUGAGUGACAAGUGUACACUCCAUAUUAGGUCACUUAAAACCCAAAUGAAGGACUAUGAUUAAAUAUGGAGUAGUAAGGUUAAAAUGGUUGUUAAGCCUCUUGUCAAUCACCUUUUUACACAAGUAUGGGUCAUGGCAAUGCACCAUACCCUACUACAUUUCCCUUAGUUAAUGAAAUCUGAGCUGCUGCAUUUUACAUAGCCAAUCAAGCAGUCAAUCACAUCUCCAAGUCCUCUCCAUUCUCUGCUAAGAAACCGAUCCAAAAUAUAACCAAAAUCAUCCAAAACAAACAAACCUUUAUCAACUAUGAGGGACAAUGGUUCUAGACAGAAGUACUCACAAUUCUGAAAUAAAAUCAUCCUCGUUUGGCUUCUCCAAAGAACGGAAAUGAACGAUCUAUAGAACUCCAAAUCACUCAAUGGUCAAUAUAGUUAGGUUAGAAAACCUAAGGCAACUCUUAUAAUACCGUAAUGACAGUCCACCCGAAAAAAGUAAAAGGAGGUGCGAAAAACAUGUAAAAGCUUCCACAUCCUGUACCAGGAUUUUAUUUAAAUAUUCCAAAAAUGAAAGGACGUCAAGAUAUAAACAUUCUUCUUCGCUUUCAAGUGGAGUGGAUUUUUGAAAGCAGAUAAUGUCCCCAUCUUCAAUCGGAAAAACAAAGCACUAAUAUUUACCUAGCAAUCCGGAUAGCAGCAAAACUGUUCAUUCCUAUUUCAGGCACUUGUUUGCAAUAUGCCAAGCUUGCAAUAUAGCAACACUUACCUCACUUAAUCGAAAUGAGGUCCUCUUGCCGAGAUGAUCACACCUGUCCCUUGGGUCGAACUUUAUUUCCUGAAUGUAGCAUAAAAACAGGUAACCGAAACGUGCAUCUGAUAGUUAUGACACGGCUAUUUGCAAAAAAAAAUAGAUGUGAAAUAGACCUCAUGAAGUUCAAUUUCUUCCUCGGGAAAAACCAGCCAGUUGAUUUAAUUUUGCUAAAAUCUCUACUGGCUCGCUAGAAAUAUUCACAAAAAACCUACCAACGAAACUGGUAUACACAAAGAAACUUAAUCACAAACAAUGAAUUAAAAGGAAAAACUAUUUAGCUCAGCAGAAAGAGCCAGAGGUACCGUAGUUCUCAUUUCUCCGGUUCAUAAAGCUUAAACAAAAGCAAGAUAUCUUCUUUGGUUUUCUCAGGCGGAGGAAUAGGACGUUUAUCCUGGAGAAUUGCAUCGAAGCAAGAAAAUCAUAAGAAAACAUCUUCCGUACAGAAAUUGUUGCUGCAAGUAAAUCUCAAACCAUAGGUCAACACAAUGAUAGAGACUGGAUUCCGGCCCAAGCUCUACUUCUAAAAACAACAUUAUCUCUGAAUUUUUGUGCUGUUUAUAUAGACCUUCAAUUUUUCGACCUACGAAACAAAAGGUCUUGAUUAGCACGCAUAAGGAACGUAUACGAAGCUGUGAAAGGCAACAAUAAGCACAUCAAAACACUACUAGUCUUCUGAUCAUUUCAAAUAUGGACUUCCAACAAAUCCAUUCAUUGGGCACUUAAAAAGUAGAAAGUGUAAAGUAAUUACUGAUUGUAAUUGUUCUUCGGGUGUCAAUGGUCGAAUGGGGCAGUAUGUGUGGUUGUGUCUCUUGGCCCAAAUCCAAAACCGCAGAAAUUGCACUGGUAUGCCAAACUCUUGUGCAACCACUCCUGGGAACCAUUUCAAACUGAAUUAAGAAUCUGCUGCCCUCAACAAUCAUCAAUUACAAAAACCCGAAAGGGUAUAAAAGGAAAAACCAGACAUGAAUGCCGAAAAGUGAACCUGUACUGCCGUACCUUGAAAACAUAAACGGGAAUCUGUUUCUUAAUGGGGAAACUACGAACUUUGUCAUGGUCCACAAGGUCGAAGUAUGUUCCCUUCCAAUUUGUUUUACCAGAUUCUCAUCUCGAGCAACCUAAGCAUAUUAAUAAAUAGCCUCUCUCAUAAUUCUUUGAUGUACAUCAAGUCCCUGUACUAGCACUUCUGAAAAAGUAAUGGUGAAAGCGGGGAAAGAGAAGAAGUCUUAACCUUAAUGAUAGUAUAAAGUUGAGCUUGUGUCUUAUGCCAUUUUUCGUCCUCCUCCUCCUCUUGUUCUUUUUUUCUUUUCAAACUUGUCUGAAAUGAAACAGAGUGACAAUUCAGUCUCUUAGAUGGACACUUGAAAGCAGAACUUAUGAUUGACGUAACACUAACUACGACAAUAACCAAGAACACUAAAAAGCAGGUAAAGUUCCCGCAGCCUGUAUUGGGGAUUUUGCAUCUACCAGAAAUGAAGUGUAAAGUAAAUACAGAUUGUGAUUCCUCCUUGGGUGUCAAUGGUCGACAAGGGCGAUAUGUUUGGUUUUUUCUCUUAACCCAAUACCAGAAGCGCUGAAAUUGCACUGGUAUUCCAAACUCUUCUGCAACGUCCUCCUGUGAACCAUUUCAAAAUUAGAAUUCUAAUGGUAACAACACAACUGAAUUCGGAAAUCUGAGGUACUACUGUCUGUACCUUGAAACGCCAAAAGUGCAUCUUUUUUUUAAUAGGAAAACUACGAAUUUUGUCAUGGUCCACAAGGUCAAAAUAUAUGUCCCUUUCAAUCUGUUUUUCCAGGUCCACGUCUUGAGAAACUGACCAUAUAAAUAAAUUCCGUCUGCCGUAAUUUUUGGAUGUAAACCAAAUACCUGUAGUAGCACUUCUAAACAAGCAGUGGUAGGUACAAGAAGUCUUCACCCUAAUAAGAGUAUAACAGUCCACUUGUGCCUUGUAUCUCCUUGUUUCUUCCUUUUCUUCUUCGUUCUUCAACCUUAUGGUCCUGAUCUGAAAUUAAAAAAAAUGUCAGUUAAGUGACCUCAGUCUCUUAGUUGUACACUUGAAUGGAGAACUUACGCUCAAUGUAGCAUUAACUAGACGUAGAGACAAAUGAAGACUGUAUCAUUCACCAGAUAACCCAUACUAGGAUCAUAAAGCUCAAUGAGAGGCAUGAAGCAGGUGAAUCCAAGGCCAAUUUCAUUUGUACAGAACUGGUGAUGUGUUUCUGAAACUCCAUGUAAAGAAUCAGGAAUCGAGGUUCAGAAAAUACUCAAAAUGUGAACAAAACUUGAUCGAUUCUAGGACACAUAAACUUUUUUUUUUAACACAAUUGUAACAUACACCAUUAACAAAAGAGAAAUGUAUUGGUGAAGAUCACUACAUGCUAGCAGCAGGUAAUUAGGCAUUAAUUUUUUUAAUAACAUUUUUUUCCAGUGCAAUUUUCUGUUAGUGAGCUACAUUUGUUUCCCCUCAUUUUCUAUUACCUUUUCAAACCCCUUAAUUACUUGGGUACGGUACAUGCAUUUACUUAAUACAUUCAUGAUCUAACGGUUAUAUAUGCAACCAAAAAUAGAGAAUAUCAUAUCUAACCGUUAGAUGACGAAUGCAUUAAAAAGCAUAAACUCUGAACAUAUGAUCAAGGAAAAACUUCAGUAAGGCAGCUGGCCACACUUGGUCUCUUGCUUUGAUUUUACCUUUCUUGUUUUGAUUUCAAAGAAAAAAAUUUAAACUGAUAAAGAAGUAUACCCUUUGUUACUGAAUCCUUGCUAUGGAUCUGAUUGACUACAGCCAAGCUGAACUGAACAUAUCGACUCCACCCGUCUGGCAAUGUCCCAGAAUCUGCAGCAUCUAAGUACAUGGAAAACCAGCCCACAUUGUUGCUUCCCUUUGGAAAUAUUUGUUGGUAUUUCAAAGUUUAGUAACUCAAUACCAAAAAUAUGUGGGUGAUAAGUUUUCUAAUUUUAUCACACCUCUCACUAUCACUCUCAAUAAAACUGGACAAACUAAAGGAAAGAAGUAGCAAACUUGUUGAUAACAAAACACUUUGAAAUAUUAGAAGAGUUUAUAACUCUUAAAGGUUACAAGCUGAAAAAUGAGAAUGGGAAUUCGGAUGGUUUUUUCUAAAGCCUUACAAGAAGCUUAAUUAUACAUGCAAAAGUUACAAACCACUCAAGUGCUUUUUAAUAAAAAAAAUACACACACAUGCAAUCAAUGAUGGUGUUUACCAUCUUAAUAAACAAACAUCACAACCUUUCGGCUAGUAGCUCACACUUUCUGAAAAGUGUUCCAACAAUUUCUGAAAAGUGUUCCACCACUUUCUGAAAAGUGUUCCACCACUUUCGGCCACUGUAUUUGAUUUGAACUUCCAACACGCCCCCUCAAAUCAAAAUACCUUCAUGCCUAGCAUUUCACGCAGCAAUCGAAAUGAUUCAACUGGUAGUGGCUUUGUGAAGAUGUCAGCUACUUGUUCCUUCGUGUGACAAUGGACAAGUUCAAUUGUUUUUUGUUUCACGUGGUCCCUCAGAAAAUGGAACCUGGUAUCAAUAUGCUUGCUCCUUCCAUGUUGGACUGGAUUCCUAGCAAGCUUGAUAGCUGAGAUGUUAUCCACAUGAAUCACAGUCGAUUCCACUUGUGGAUGACACAUUGACUUCAACAGAUUUCUUAACCAAAUUGUCUCACACACAGUUGAGGCUACAGCAACGUAUUCGGCUUCACACGAUGACAAAGCAAUAAUUGAUUGCUUCUUUGAAGUCCAUGAGAAAGCUGUUGAUCCUAGAAAAAACACAUAGCCAGUUGUGCUUUUCCUUUCAUCUUGGUCACCUCCCCAAUCACUAUCUGAAUAACCAAAUAAUUUUGCAUCUUCACGAAAAUUAUAAAACAGACCAUAGUUUAGAGUACCUCUUAUGUACCUCAAAAUUCUCUUGGCGGCCAGCCAAUGAGACUCCCUAGGUAUUUCCGUGUACCAACUCACGAGUCCAACGCCAUAAACUAUAUCAGGUCUUGUGUGAUUGUAAGGUACUUUAGGCUUCCAACCAAGCUUUUUUACACGGUUGAGUUUACAAACUCACCUUCUCCUUCCUUGGACAGCUUCAAUCCAGUUGCAACUGGAGUGUUGACAAUAUUACACUUGUCCAUAUUGAAUUUCUCCAAUAUAUCUCUCAUGUACUUCUGUUGAGAGAUGUAGAUACCAUCACUUUCUUGCUUCACCUCUAUGCCAAGAAAGUAUGACAUUAAUCCAUUAUCAGUCAUCUCAAAUUCACUGAACAUGGAUUGCUUUAACUCACGAAACAUUGCUUCAUUGUUUCCUGUAAACAAUAAGUCAUCUACAUAGAGACAAAUAAUUAAGAACUCCCCUUUUGUACCAUUCUUCAUGUAAACUGAAUGCUCGUAUGGACAUUUCUGAAAUCCAUUUUGGUGAAGGUAGUUAUCAAUCCUUGAGUUCCAAGCUCGUGGUGCUUGCUUGAGGCCAUACAAAGCCUUCUUCAAACGAUACACAUUUUCUUCUUCUCCUUGUACUCCCAUCUGCAUUGCGUUUGAUCUUAUACACCCACUUGACACCAAUAGCCUUCUGAUUUGGUGGGAGCUUUGUCAACUCGCAAGUGCCAUUCUUCUCGAUGGCAUGGAUUUCUUCCUCCAUGGUUAUUCUUCAACGAUCUUCUUCCACAGCUUCAUUGAAUGAGAAGGGCUCGUGGUCUGCAUACAAGCAGAAAAGGUUGGUUUCUUCUUCUUCUUCUUCUUAUCCAUAUAUCUCGGUGAGACUUCUUAGCCUCACUAAAGUUGAGGAGCUGCUUUCUUCACUGGAUGUAGGGCCACUCCUUGCAUGUCUGUGUAAUGGAGUUGUUGUGAUUGUUUGAGCAGGUUGUUACUCGACAGGUGGUACAACUUCUGGUUCUUCAAAAUCAGUGGAGACGAUAUUCUCUUUACCGACUUCUUUGUUGUUCCACUUCCAUGCAUCUUCCUCGUUGAAGAUGACAUCUCUACUAACCACUAGUUUGCUAGUUAGUGGGUUGUAGAGUUUGUAUGCCUUAGACUCUUCACUAUAGCCCACAAACACACAUUUUUCACCUCGAUCAUCAAGCUUCCUCCUCUUGGCUUUUGGAACUUGAGCAUAUGUAACACACCCAAAAACUCUUAGGUGUGCAACAUUCGGCUUGUAUCCACUCCAAGCCUCUUGUGGUGUCAUCCUCUUGACACUUUUUGUUGGACAUCGAUUCAACAAAUAAAUCGAACAAGCUACAGUUUCUGCCCACAAUUCUUUUGGCAAAUUCUUCUCUUUAAGCAUAGGCCUUGUCAUGUCAAGGAUGGUUCGAUUCUUUCUUUCGGCUAUCCCAUUUUGUUGUGGGGUAUAGGCAGCAGUCAGUUGAUGUCUAAUUCCUUGCUCCUUGUAAUAUGCUUGGAAAGCAUUGGAGGUGUACUCUCCACCUAUAUCUAAUCUCACAGCCACAAGCUUGUGGUUGCUUUCAGCUUCUGUGAAUGCCUUAAACUCCUUGAAAACUCUUAGGGCAGUCGACUUCUCCUUGAGAAAAUAAACCCAAGUCUUCCUACUAAAAUCAUCAAUGAAGGUAAUAAAAUACCUAUUACCUCCAUAGGACAUAGGAUCCAACGGACCACAUAUAUGUGUGCACUAACUGCAGUGUUGCCUUUGCUCUCCAUGUAUCACCAACAGGGAACGAUAGUCGUGCUUGUUUACCAAGUACACAACCUUCACAUACAUUGUGUGUGGCUUCAAUCUGGGGUAGACCACGAACCAUUUCUCCACUUGACAAUAACUUUAGACCAUUGAAAUGAAGAUGGCCAAACCGAAGAUGCCAUUUCCAUGACUCAUCUUUCAUCACACCAAUGUUGUAGCUUCCAAUAUUUGUGUUCAACUUCAACAGGAACAUUCAUUUCUUUGACAUUUGAAUACGUGCAAUAAGCUUUCUCUUUGCAUUCCUGAGAGUGAGAAGCAAAUUCUCCAUAUGUAUAACAUGCCCUUUCUGGAGCAGUUGACCAAUGCUCAGAAUGUUGCUCUUCAUACCUGGUAUGUAGUAGGUAUCGGAUAUGUAUUCUUCUCUACCAUCCCUUCUGGAUGAUUUUGAUUUUUCCUUUGCCUUCAACUGGAAACUUUGAGGAGCCACCAAGACUCACAGAUCCAUAAGGCCUAUCUUUGAGUUCGACAAAAAACUCUUUCUUUCCACACAUGUGGUUGCUUGCACCAGAGUCCAAAUACCAAACAUCUUAUUGGCUACUGAUAUCAUGGUGUGCUAGUAAGACUGUAAAUUCCUCACCAGCAUUUCCACUUGAUUCUACCAUGUUAACAUGCUCACCAUUUUUUUAUGAACAGUCAUUGGCAUAAUGUCCAUAUUGCUUGCAACUGUGACACUGGAUAUGAGCAUUUCCUCUAGUAGAUCUCCACUCUUGAGAUUGACCUCGGUUUUGUGCAUAGCCUCGACCUCUUCCUCGGGCUCGUCCUGUGCUAGGUUGGAUGAAAUCCCACAACGUGAGUUCCACUGCCCACGACCUCCAUUUGGUUUGUGAAUAUUCAACUUUGACUCCAAAGCUUGCUCUAGCAUUGUAGGGCUUGCAUUCUUCUGAAUGCAUUGCUCGUGAACCAGAAGGGAUCCUAGCAGUUCCUUUGCGCUCAUUUUCUCCAAAUCCUUGGAUUCCUCAAUGGCAGUCACCACAUGCUCAAAUUUGCAUGUAAGGGAUCGAAGGAUUUUCUCCAUGACACGAACAUCUUCAAGCUUCUCGCCAUUCCUUUUCAUUUGAUUCACAAUUACAAGUAGUCGAGAGUAGUAGUUUGAAAUGUUUUCUCCUUUUUUCAUAUAAGUAGCCUCAAAAUCUGCUCUUAAUGAUUGAAGCCGGACUCUUUUUACUCGAUCUACUCCUUGGUAAAUUGUCCUCAGAGUGUCCCAAACUUGCUUGCUAGUUGUUGCUUUUGCAACCUUCUCGAACGUUGAAUCUUCUAAUCCUUGAUAUAGAAGAUAUAGCACCUUCUUGUCCUUCUUUCGUAAGUCCUUGAGAGUAUUCCUUUGAUCUAUAGUGUAGGCAGCUUCUUGCUCAGUAGUGGGUUCAUCAUACCCAUUACUGACAACUUCCCAUAGGUCCUAUGAUCCAAACAAUGCUUUGAACUAGAUGCACCAUCUUUCAUAAUUUUCUUUCUUCAAUGUGGGAACCUGGAGCUGCACUAAGUUAGAUGCCAUAGCUACUGCACUUGCCAUAAAGGUAACCUGGCUCUGAUACCAAAUGUUGGUAUUUAAAAGUUUAGUAACUCAAUGCCAAAAAUAUGUGGGUGAUAAGUUUUCUAACUUUAUCACACCUCUCACUAUCACUCUCAAUAAAAUUGGACAAACGAAAGGAAAGAAGUGGCAAACUUGUUGAUAACAAAAUACUUUGAAAUAUUAGAAGAGUUUAUAACUCUUAAAGGUUACAAGCUGAAAAAUGAGAAUGGGAAUUGGAAUGGAAUGGGAAUUCGGAUGGUUUUUUCUAAAGUCUUACAAGAGGCUUAAUUAUACAUGCAAAAGUUACAAAUCACUCAAGUGCUUUUUAAUAAAAAAAUACACACACACAUGCAAUCAAUGAUGGUGUUUACCAUCUUUUAAUAAACAAACAUCACAACCUUUCGGCUAGUAGCUCACACUUUCUGAAAAGUGUUCCAACAAUUUCUAAAAGUGUUCCACCACUUUCUGAAAAGUUUUCCACCACUUUCGGCCACUAUAUUUGAUUUGAACUUCCAACAAUAUUAGUAUCCUCCUGAUCAAACAAACCAUAGCAAUUCAAAAUCCAAUCAACCAAGAAGAAAAAUAUAUAAACCAACUUCGGGUGCGUAAAUCGAAUGUUGACAUGAAGGUCUAUAUCUAGGGAAGAAGAAAAAAAUUACCAUUUAUAACCGCCAGCAAUGAAGAUAUCAGAAUAGACAUUCCUGGUGUUCAGAGUAGUAAAGUUAUCAAUUUUCCGAGUUUCAUGCUCGUAAGAUCCUCCAAUUGCGCGUCUACCAGCACACCAAAUACCAUUUAUUUUGUUAACGAAUUAUUGAUAAGGCUUCAUUUACUUCUAAGUAGUUAUCUUUGUAGUUAAGAGUCCUAGUUUUAUAUGGCUAGGGUUCUUCUUUGUAAUUAUAUAUACAUGUAAACUCAACGAAAGUAUCCAGAAUUCAUUUUCUACAUAUUUCAAAAACCCUACAGAAAAUGUGAUCAGUUACACUCUAGUCAGACGCCAUUGUUACCCUGAACUAUACUAAGGAGGGGAAUGAUUUGGACUCACUCAGGAAGAAGAAGAAAACUCUAUCCAUAACCGCAAUCCACUAUUAUUUUUUAGAAAUUCAAAUUGUUGAGGAUUGACGGGAGAACAGACUUGCAUGGCUUAAAAGUAAGACUACUCUCUAUAUGGCCAAUUAGAUGAGAGAAAAUAAGUAAAUUGAGCUACUAUCCAUAUUGUCAGUUAGUUUUAUGAUGGAAUCUCAAUCUUCUUCAUGUUAUCAUAGCAAGUUGUCCAAAAUGUAAGGCUCGUCAUCCGCUCCACGUCAUCCGACCCACGUCAUCCGAUUUUUGUUGUUCACAUGCUAAGCUUGAAAAUUCUCCACACGUGAGGCGGUAUGCUGAGAGUAUAAAGUCCACACAUGAAACGGCGUGUUGAGAGUAUGCAUGUGCUUAUAAGCAAUUGGAUCUGUGACCAAAUUUGAGUGUGGCAUGCACAAGCAUCUGUUCGUGUGAGCAAAGCAAUAAAUCCAGAGCUCUAAUCGUGCAAAACGUAUCGCUAUACUACUGAAUGGCCAACGGUUCGGAGAAACCACACGCGACCCGCCUAAAUCAUUCUUAUCAGCCCAUACCCGAAUAUGAUUUUUACAUUUUUCAUUGAUUAUGUUUUGAUACUUUAUUUAUUUAAUGUUAAUUUUAUACUAGCACUACGUUUUAGUGAUAUUCUACAUCACUUGAAAAUUAAAGGUAUUAUGUUCGACUCUAAUUAAUGGCAAGUUCAAAACCCAAGUUAUAAAUGAUAGAGCAGUUGUCACUCAGUACUACAAUGUAGUAGUAUUCCUCUUUACUUAUAAUUAAGAAAUCUUAAGUUCGAAUCUCGACCUGUAUCCCUUUAGUGUAGAUACUUAAAAUGUUGUACCAAAAAAAAAAAAACAAAGAAAGUUAACUAUGCUUCCUCUCCAUGAUGAGUCGAUUUCAUACUAUAUAUUUUACUCUAUUCUUAGUAGGUUUUGAUGAUUAUUUUAGGGAGAUUUUAAUAUUUUGAUUUAUAUUUUUUAUGUAGGACAUGUGGAUCUGUUUUAGCAUAAAGUUAUAAAUCACUAGACUAUCCUCUUCGUCCGACCAUGGACACAAUAUUACCUUGGCAUUUUUCAUCUCUCCAUGAAAAUGUUAUAUCCGAAUCAUUUGGUCUUGUUUGAUUGUUGUUGAGCGUUGCCUCAUUGAAAUAAAUUUCCAUCCAUCACCACAAAAGUUCUUAACUGGGUGACUUGACCUGUUAAAAUAAUAGGUGUUAGGACACACGACCAGACUUAUAUCACAACUUGGUCACUUGGACCAUUAAUAGGUGACACAACCCAAAUUGUAUAAUUUAGCUAAACUUCAUAGGCCAUUUAUGAUAAAAACUGAAUAGCAACCCCUAGAAUGAGCCACCGGUUCAAGUACAAGAUCCUAUCAUUACCGCCAAGACAUCCAACUGGUAGUCAUAACAACCCGAUUGCAAGAGAAAAGCUCGACCCAUCCACCAGGUCGGUUUUUCCUUUAUUAAUUUAUAAAAUUUUGGAUUUUUUACUUCGAAGUCUAGCUCCGAUUCCUUCUGCUAUGAGGUAGAUCGGCCGCUACUCCUCCGCAAGGAAGUGUUGGUUAGGCAAUGUGUGGUUGUUAAACAAAGAUCCACUUUUAGCAGGGUGCAGAUUAAGCCAAAAACACAAUUUUGUCGGAGUAACCAAACGAGGAGGGGUAGGAGUGUAAACGAAAAACACCCAUCAGCACAAUCAUCUUCCUUCCCAUUCAGACUCGAACAAUGUGAGGAAACAAGUUACCUGAAUUUUGCACGACGUGUUCAUUUCUUUGCAUGUUCAUACAAACUUUUGGACCAAGAAAGGGCUUAUUCACAAAGGAAAAUAUUUCUAAAACUUAAAGUACUUCUUCAGUGCAUCUUGUAGGACGGCCCAGGUUCCAACAGAACUACACUUUUGCAAUGUCAAGGUAGCCUGCCUCACAAUCAAGUUUUCAGAUUUUAAUGAGCUAUCUGCAAACCUCUGCUUAAGAGGUUCCAUUUCAUCCACAGCAGUUUCUAGAUUCGCCAUUGCCUCAGCUCGUUCUGCCUUUACUCGGACCAGUUCAGCCUCAAGUUCUGUAACCUUGGCAUCAUAAUUGGCCACAAUGUAUUUCCUCUCUUGGCAUUUCUGCAUGGCCAGUCCCAUUUGAACUUCUAUCCCUUCGUGUUCGACUCGAAAAUCUUCAGCUUGGGUAAGCUCUUUUACUGCGGCCACGUACUUCAGCAUUUCACCAUCCAAAGACGAAAGAAGAUCCUUGAACAUGGAAGUGAUCGUUGAAGGGAUCAUCCCUUGUUCAGUCACAAGUUUCAAGGCUGCUUUGAACUCCUCAUAAGCCCCAUUCGUGCAGAGUGUGUCUAGGCUGCUCCUUGCAUAACGGCUCACAGUGUCUAAUGCAGCCAAAGUCUCUACUGAUGGUCCUCUGGCUGAAGUGGACUUCAAUAGAUCCUCUGCAGCAGAAAGUCUUCUCAGAGUUCGAUCAACUGCUGGAGAAGCAGGGCCAUCCAGGUCAUCAUUUUGCAUUUCAAUUUCUCUGCUUGCUGUCUCAUGGCCAACAUUAGACGCCAUGGACUCUAAGGUUACUUGGGCAGCCUGCAUCAGAGUCCAGAGAUCAUUAUGAAGAUUAAAUUUUUUUAAAAUGAAUGUGGGCUUGGUCGGAUUCUUACGUCUUCUUGUGGAGUUGGCUCUGCCUGGCAAAUAGAGGUUGGAAAAGAAAUAUUUACAACAGCACUUACUUGAUUUGCUGCGUGAGCCCUCUUAGGAGCUUUAUCAGAGUGCUCCAACCCAAGGUACUGCUCCCAUGCACCAUAAACAUCUCUUCUCUGAAGAAAACAAAAUUUCAAAUGUUGGAAGUUAAAAAAGAAAUCCACCUAGGCAAUACCCAUAAACAUGGUUUAGAUUGGCCUGC